UGAAAAAUUAUCUAAUAGUUAAUAUUUGAUUAAUGUUUCAGUAUUACUGUGGAGGUAAUUUAAACUAAGUUGAAACUAUAAGGCUUCGUUUGGUUCGGGUAUAAGCAAGAACUAGUUAUACCGGGGACAGGUACAAGAAUGAAUUUUCGUAGGAAUAAGCAUAUUUUUUUUGUUUGAAUGAAAAUAUGAGUAUAAGCUGAAACUAAAAAAAUUAUGUUUGGAAGAAAAUCUGAGAAUAAUGCGGAAUAGUUGGUAGUUAUAGAUAGAAAUAAUAAUUUUACCUCUAUAAUUGAAUUUAACAUUUUAAACUAAUAAUUUUAAAUUAAAAAUUUUAACUUNAAGCUGGAACUAGAAAAAUUAUGUUUGGAUAAAAAUGUGAGUAUAAGGUGGAAUAGUUGGUAGUUAUAGAUAGAAAAUAAUGAUUUUACCCCUAUAAUUGAAUUUAAAAUUUUAAACUUAUAAUUUUAAAUUUGAAAUUAAUAUUAAAACUUUUAAUUUUUAAAUUUUAAAUUUAAUAUCAAAUUUAAAUUUGAAAGAUAUAAAAUAUCAAAUUUAAAAUUUAAAAUCUAAAAAAAUUAAAUAUAAAAUUUAAAAAUUAAAAAUAUCAAAUUUAUAAUUUAAACAUUACGAAUUAUAAAAUUAUAAAUUUAAAUUUUAAAAUUAUAAAUUAUAAAUUUUAGAAAUUUAAAUUUAAAUUAAAAAUCUCUCUUUUUCUCUCUCUCUCUCUCUACCCGGGAGGGGUGGAACAAGUUGUUUCACCCCUUGUUCCACCCCAGGGGUGGAACAACUUGUUCCCACCCAAUCCGGUACAAGGGGAGCUUGUACCCCGUGGGUGGGAACAAAUUGUUUCCGGCCCUCAAACUUGUGUUUGGGUACAAGAGGGGGGAUAACCCUCUUAUCCCCCCUCUUGUUUCCAUUCCAAACGGGGUGUAAAGUAAUAAAAUUUUAAUUUUAAAUUUUUGAUACUAAUUAUUAAAAUUUUAUCCAAUUAUAUUAGGUAGGCUCACUAAUCAUUCCAAAUGGUUGUGUUUGGUAAUAUGUCAGUUGAUUGAUUGGUACUAUCGAUAGUACUCCUUUGUCGCCCUCCAACAAAGAUGUGCGUUUCCACGUGCGUAUAUGUUCUCUAGCACUUCAAUUAUUGACCAAAAAAUUUCAAUAAUUUCAAUAAAUUUAUUAAAUUUUAAUUUCUUAAAAAUAAAAUACUUAACAACUGAUAACCAGUAUAAUAAUUAAAUUUUAGGGCUAAUUUCAUAUAGCUUCCUGCAAACAUGGUAAAUGUCAAAUAUAUUUCUACAAAGUUCAACUUUUAUAUACUAUAUCUGUAAAAGUUCUGAUAUUUUUAAAUAUAUAUACCUCUGAUUUGUUACCAUUCGAAAACUGUUUAUAUUCUCAAUUUUGUCAUCACAAAUAUAUCACUUCAAAAAUCAUAACAGUAUAGUAUAAAAGAAUAAAAAUAGCAAAAAUUAAGUAGGGUUAAGUAUUUAACCUAUGGUUAACUAAAUUUUUCUAACGUAUUCUAACGGUACGGACAUAUUUGAAAAUAUCAAGACUUUUACAAAAAAAUAUAUAAAAAAUAAAUUUUGUAGAAAUAUAUUUGUUAUUUACUAUGUUUGCAAGAAUCUGUAUGAAAUUAAUCCUAAAUUUUAUUAUAUCCAAGUAAAACAAUUGAAAUAAUAAAAAUAAGAAACUAAAGAAAUAUCGAUAUAAAAAAAAAAAAGCAAAUUUGAGAUUCCCACAGUUGAGGGAUUUCUCUACAAUUUCGGCCUUAUAAGUUAUAAAAGGAAAGCUAAGGUAACGGAUACACACCCAGCCACCAAACAGAAAAAAAAAAAUAAUUUCAAAAAAUGGAGGAAAUAGAGAGUAAGAAAGGCAAAGAGAGAUGGUCUCUCCAUGGAAUGACCGCUCUGGUCACCGGAGGUACCAGAGGAAUUGGGUAACCUCUAGUCUUCGUUUUUUUUUCCUACAUAUUUUAUAUUAACAUAAUUAUUUUUACUAUUAUUUUAUAAAAAUAUAUAAUUUUUAUAUAAUUGAGAAAUAAUAUGCAUGCAUGUACGUACGUACGUAUGUGUGAAGCCGUGCGGUGGUGGAGGAGCUACUGAGCUUUGGGGCGGCGGUGCACACGUGCACACUGGACGAAGCGGAGCUGCGGUCGUGCGUAGAGCGGUGGAAGGGGAUGGGUUACCUGCGAGUGACCGGAUCCGUCUAUGAUGUGUCGUCGCGGGAGCAGCGCGAGCAGCUCAUGAAGGAGGUGGCCUCCCUCUUCUCCGGAAAACUCAACAUACCCGUGAGUCUCAUCAUUUUUUUUUUUUUAAGUAAGUUUCAAAUACUAUCCUUGUGGCUUCGCACUUUCUUAUUUUAGUACCAUAUAUAUAUAUAUAUGUGUGUGUGUGUGUGUUUUAAAGUGUAUCAAUUUAGUACCUCUUGAUUUCCAGCUCAGCUCCUUCAUUAAUAUUUCGUUAAAUUAUAUGCAAAAAAUUUCAAAUACCCUUUCCAGAUUUAUUGAAUAUUUACUUUAAUAUUUUUUAGUUUGAACUUUGUCACUGAUUUAACGAAAAAAAAUUAGUAGAUCGACGUGAUAAUAAACAGAGAAAAUUUAAAUUAUAAGAUACUAAAUUGAUACAUUUUAAAUCACUUAGUACAAUAAUAAAAAAGUACAAAACCACAUAGAUUGUAUUUGAAGUUUUUUUUUUUUCCUUUCUUUUUCCUUUUUUUUUUUCCCAAGCUAUAUAUGUGGGUCACCUUGUAAUUAAGUACUACAUGUUUUUAGAAUUGAAUCCUGUUCUCCGAUCAAUCCACAUGUAAUAGGUUAUAGGUUUUCGAAUAGAAAAAUUAGGAUAAUUUCUGGUUUUUAUAUUUAUCCCUAAAAAAAUACUGCAUUUUCAAAUCUAUUUGUUCAAAUUUUAAAAAAAUUUUAAAUAGGCCUUUAACACGUGAAUAUUAGAAAAAUAAAAAACUUCCGAAAGGUAUAUUUGAAAUAUGGGGCUUUUUGUUUAUAUAUUCAUGAUUUUUUUAAAAAAAAUUUAUUUAUCUUCUAUUUUAAAAUAUUUUUUAAAAAUUAAUUAUUUUUUUUAAAAAAAAAUUAAUAAAAUUAUUUUGAUUAACCUUAAAUAUUUAAGAAAUUUUUAAAAAUUUUGAAAGAUAUUCUAUCUAUUAUCCCUUGAAAUAAAGAAUAAAUAUAAAACUCAAUACCUUUUUAUAAAUAUGUCCACAGUUAAUUAUCUUAAGAAAAUUUGGGAUGAGCUAGAAAAAGUGAUUUAUGAAUUAUGAUUGACAUGGUGGUAUCCCUAGCACAAAAGUUUUUGAUCUUAUAUAUUAUUUUUUGAGCAUAGCAAUAUUAUCUCUACGCUUCUAAUAUAGGAGUACAUUUUACACUAGAGCUUUCAAAAGGCUAAAAUUAGAGACUUGUUUUAACAAUUUUUUUAAAUACCUAAAUUUUAACUAUAAUAAAAUGUGCAUAUACUUUUUUUUUCUUUUUUUUCUUUUUUUUGAGAAAUGCUAAACGCAAGUAGAACAACAUGACAAGGCCUCUUUUUUAUUUUUAAAUAUUCAAAUUAUCAACGAAUAAUACUUUUGAUAUUUAUAUGUAAUAUUUUUCUGAUAAUGUACUGUACAUGUCAUUAAUUGAUAUGCAGGUAAACAAUGCAGGAACAGUCAUAGUAAAACCAACUAUAGAGUACAGUGAAGAGGAUACUGCGCACAUAUGGGCCACUAACUUUGAAUCAGGCUAUCAUCUCAGCCAGCUCUCGCAUCCACUCCUGAAGGAGUCAGGACGCGGCUCGAUCGUUUUCACCUCUUCUGUCGCCGGUAUCGUCGCUGUACCUUACGGGACCCCUUACGCUGCAACUAAAGGUAAGAGUUGUUAGUUUUUGAAGAAUUUGAACUUAUGAUCUCAUUGUUGUGAUCAUCAAACUUUGCAUUGUAACGCAGGAGCAAUUAACCAGCUGGCGAAGAAUCUGGCAUGUGAGUGGGCCAAGGACAACAUUCGGGCUAACUGUGUCGCUCCUUGGUUUACGAUGACUCCCUUAGUUGCUCCGGUCAGUUGUAGCUUUCUCGCUCAUUCUUUUUUUAUUUUUUAUUUUUUGCUUUUACUUUAUUUUUAUUUUUUUUUAGAUUCCUAGAGGUUGCUGUGCAAACUAGCAUGCAAAUGGAUCUUAGUCAAUGGAGCUCUCAUUCAGACCCACUGAGAAUGAAAUAAUAAUAAUAAGUGGAGGACCCCUCUCCGCACCCUAUCCGCUAAAAGAAUGGAGCAGUAAACAGAGGAUUCCUUUCGUCUCUUGAUUCGCUCCGAUUUAUCAAAAUUUAUAAAAUCCUGUUUUCGUCCCAAACUGCUCUGGAUAGAACAGUAAAUAAGGACAAAGAAUAAUAUAAAUCAACAUGUUCUAAGUCUCUCAUGAUUCCCUAAAGAAUAGGGGGGCUAUAACCAUGAGUUAAAAGGUGUGAUUUGUUGUGUGGGAUUAGAGUUGGACCUUUCCCUGAGAUUGUGGGUUUGAUCAAAACCAGUCCAAAGUACGAAACCCUAUCGGAUCAUUCUUAAACUCAAUUCCUAAUUUUAAAUUAGCAGCAGAUUUUACUACAAAAACUAUUAACUUAUGACACAAUAAAAAGAAAAAAAAAAAAAACUAUGGUGUUCAUAUAUAUGCUUUAGUCCAAAACUCCUAGAACCAUCAUUAAUUGGAGCCAUUUGGAUGACCCGGCUGGAUAUAAAAUAUUAAAAAUACUAUUCUUGAAUAUCUUAAAAAGUUUUAGAGUACUUGGUUAUUUCAGAUAUCUCAUCGUAGCUCUAUUUAUACUCUUCGCAGUAUCUCGACGAGCAGACACUGGCAAAGAUUCGAUCUUGCACGCCGGUCGGGCGAGUUGCGAAGCCCGAGGAGGUGUCAUCAGCGGUGGCAUUCCUUUGCCUCCCGGCAGCUUCUUAUAUCACCGGACAAACUAUCACGGUUGAUGGAGGCAUGACAAUAAAUGGGUUUUUCUUUAAUUAGAAUUUGCCCGCUAAACUUAAUUAAUAUCCAUGAUUAAAUAAGAUGGGGAUUAAUAAGAGCUGAAAAUUGUAUGUUGCUUAUUCUUCAAUAUAUCCAGAUGUUCCCUAACGAAUGUGCUUAUUGCUAUUUUUUUUUAUUUUUUUAUUUGUGUGUGUGUGUGUUUUUGACCUUUUAACAUUGUCGUUAAUUAGCAAUUAUCAAAACCAUUUUAUUGACACUCCCUCAAUUUAAGGUUAAAAAAAAUUAAAAUUGAAAGCUAAAAUAUACUCUCUAUUUUUUUUUUUUGGGAUGUUUGCUUUGUCUCCAUCUUUACAUCAAAUCCAUCAAUAUAAACUUUGUUAAAAGUACAAAUCUUUUUAUGAUAGAGCUUUUUUUUAGGGAUUUAGCAAACUUAUUGACCGCUCGUACCGAUUAAACGAGCUAAUAACAAUGCUGAAUUAUUUUUUUAAAAAAAUAAAAAACUUUAAUGGAUAGACAUGAAAUCCAGUUUGGCACGGUCCGAUUUGUACUACUACUACUACUAACAAGAUGAGGGCUGUGCUGGCUCAUAGGUCUAAAAACGUAAUAGUUUGGUAUAUAUGGCAGGACCUAGAUUUGAAGCCAUGUUGGAUUGAGUCGACCCUGCGUCAAGUUUGGGCCGAAUGAAUAUGAGCCGUACUGGAUUACAUUCCUAAAUACAAUGCACUCUAACCGUCUUGCCUUCGAACAAUCACCGUGGAGCUAUAAAGAUAACAAAUAGACAACGAGAUUUGUUUCUAAACUUGCAUCAAUAUUUCGGUAUGUAUUGACGUGUUGGCCGACUAUUUCGAAUGAAAAUUAAUUUAUUCAGAGCAAAUUUUAGUACUAUGAAAUCAAUGUAGUGGUGACUGCAAGUGGAUGAUGAAUUGCACAAUGCCACAAUGAGUAGAGAUGUCAACGGGUCGGAUUCGAGGCGAAUUUUUAAAAACCUGAACCCGAAUCUGACUCCAAACCCGAGACCCGAACCUGAACCGGAACCCGAAGCCAAACCAGACGGAUUUUAAAAAUCCAUAUCCCAAUCCGAACCUGACUAAAAAUCUGAAACCCGAACCCAAACCCGAAAAUCUGAACCCAAACCAAUUAUUAUUUUUUCAAUAUUUCAAAAUAUAUUAUAUUAUAUGUAAAUUUUUAAAAUACAAAUUCAAAUAUAACAUCAAAUUUAUAUAUAUAUAUAUAAUACAAAAUAAAUUCGGGUUCAGAUUCGGGUCGGUACAGUCAAAUACAUAUCCGUCGGAUUUUUAUUUUUGAUAUCCAUAUCCGAAUCCAUAUCCAUUUAGCAUCGGAUAUAUCCGUUUUAUUCGAGUUCAGGUUCGGAUAAAAUUUCGAACAUCCAUACCCAUUGACAUCCCUAGCAAUGAGCGGAUCCCGUCUACUCGGACUUUGUGCUGGUGAGAGGGAGAAACUGUUGUGUGCACCGGGUGCACCACAUUUGUUGAAUAAGUUAUUAGUUUAAAUUAUAAAAGAGUAUAAUUUUGGAGUAAUAUGAAGAGAGAGAGAGAGAGAGAGAGAGAGAGAGAGAGACAGAGAGAGAGUCAAUUUAGCUAUUGAUCUCCCUAAAAAUGAGAUAUUUUUAUGAGAUCCCAAAAGUUCCGAAGUAUUAUAAACACUAAAAAUGCAUAAUUUUAUUAUUCAGAAUAAUAUUCUCUCAGGUUUUGAAGAGCUCUAAUAUCAGUAAAGCGAAAAAUUUUGAAAUAAAUUCUGAAGUUUCAAACAUGUGACUUAUAAACUAAGCUGAUAGAAAAUAUUUUUUAUAUAUAUAAAUUUGUAGUUAACAUCUUUUGACAAUUCAGUUCAGUGUAAAAGUAAAAUUCUUUAAUUUUACAAAUUUUUCCUUGGAUAUGCUCGAGAAACAUAUAUUAAAUUAAUAGGGCAAUUGUUUAUAUAUCUCUGAAAUUUUUUUUAUUUUCUAAUUUAUCUCUCUUAGAAGACUAAUAUUGAAAAUGCAUUUUUUAAGUUCCAAUCAAUUUGCAAUAUAUCUCUAGAGUUAAAUUCUUUUAAUGAAUUGUUAGUAAUAGCUGUUAUCUCUAUAAAAUUACUAUUUUGUCCUUUUCAAAUAUUUUUUUUAUCGUUAUAAACUUUUCUUAUUUGCUCUUAAAUUAGAGGCAUGAAAAAUAUUUUAAUUUUUAAUUUUUUUCAAAUAUAUCAUUCUACCAUCACCAAUAUUUUUCAUUUGCCUUUAAAUUAAGGGCAAAAUAGCCAUUUUGAUUUUUUUUAACUCUAAUAGAUAUUUAACUCCCUAAUUAACUUAACGGUUAGUAACUGUAGGAAUAUUUUAAAAUAACGGAGAAACAUAUGAGGGAUAUAUUUAAAAGAACAAAAUAUGAAUAAAUGAGAUAUUUUUGAAGUUUUGAGAAGUAUAUAGACAAUUAUCCCUAAAUUAAAUGUAUGAAAUCCUUCAACAACAAACAAUUAUGAGAAUGAGCCCUUUGGCCUUAUUUUAUUUUAUUUUUUCUUAAUUAACACCUCUUAAUUUUAAUUUCAACUCAAUAGUUACUGUUAGGCAAAGUUCUCACUCAGUUUGUCAUAAUAAUACGGAUGGAAAUUUAGUGCUGCGAAAUUUUUUAGAGUAGAGGGCGUAGGCAAUUCAUUGAAAAAUGGUUAUUAAUUAUUAAAUUAGUUCAUUAAUAAAAUAUAUAUAUUCAUAUAAAGAAUAAAAAAAAAUAAGUACUUUCAUAACUAAUUAUGAGAAGACGACGAUGAAGAUGAAGAUGAAGAUUUCGUAACUUAAAAAAGCGAAAAAAAAAAGCAGAUACAUAAAUCGGUCUUUCAAACCUAUACACAAGUUAGUAAAUAAAUCUAGCUCUUAAGAUUUCAAGGCCAAAACUGAAGAACAAGAUAUGACAAAAAUUAUUCGCAAAAUUAACCAACCAUUCAAAACCCAUUCUCGAUCCGGCACUAUCUCAAACCACAUCGAAACCCCUCCACAUCUAGAUCCAUCGAGUUCCAAUUUCAAGGGUGUUCUUAAAAAUUAUAGUACGUAACAAAUAAAUUAGACAAAAUAAACAAAUUGUUAUGAGAAUUAGCCAAAAUUUGACCUAGUGCCUAAAUUUUGGCCAGAGAAUCAACCAAAAUUCAGCCAAAAGACGAGAGAAAACGUAAAUGAAGGUAAAUGAAGAUCGUGAGGAUGUUAGAGAGAGAAAGAAAAGGUGGAAAAUCAUAUGAAAAAGAGAAAAACUAUUGUGGGAUUAUAACGGAUUUUGAUACGUUGAGUGUUCGAUUUUUUAUAAUCAACAUAUAUAAUAAGACUUUGAGGUAGUUUGUACGAAAGAUUGAAUUGCACUAAAUUGAUAAUAAUUUUUAUCUUUCCUCGUAUAAUGCAACGCAAUUUUAUCAUGUUAUCCUUGAAAAAUUAUCUAAUAGCUAAUACUUGAUCAAUGUUCCAGUAUUGCCAUGGAGGUAAAUUAAACUAAGUGAAAACUAUAAGGUACCGUUUGGUUCGGGUAUAAGCAAUAAUUAGCUAUUACAGGGAUAGGUACAAGUAUAGGGAUAAGAAAAAUAAUGUUUGGAUGAAAAUUGGGUUGUUUUCGGGGAUAAGAACAAUUUUAGAUAGUUUUAUAUAGAAAAUGGAGGUAUUAGUGGGGAUAACCGAGAACUACUAUUUUGGGGUAAAAAAUUAGCGUUUAGGUAUAAAGGGGGAUAAGGGUCUAUUUCUAUCCCUAUCCCCUAACCAAACGCUGCCUAAAUUAAUAAAAUUUUAAUUUUAAAUUUUUGAUACUAAUUAUUAAAAUUUUAUCCAAUUAUAUUAGGUAGGCUCGCUAGUCAUUCCAAAUGGUUCUGUUUGGUGAUAUGGCUACGCAGUUGAUUGAUUGGUACUAUUCAUAGUACUCCUUUGUCGCCCUCCAACAAAGUUGUGCGUUUCCACAUGGGUAUACUUUAGCACUUCAAUUAUUGACCAAAAUAUUUCAAUAAUUUCAAUAAAUUUAUUAAAUUUAUUAAAUUUUAAUUUCUUAAAAAAUAAAAUACUUAACAACUGAUAACCAAUAUAAUAGUUAAAUUUAAGGGUUAAUUUCAUAUAGCUCCCUGUAAAUAUAGUGAAUGUCAAAUAUAUUUCUAUAAAAUUUAAUUUUUAUAUUGGUUAUCAGUUGUUAAGUAUUUUAUUUUUUAAGAAAUUAAAAUUUAAUAAAUUUAAUAAAUUUAUUGAAAUUAUUGAAAUAUUUUGGUCAAUAAUUGAAGUGCUAAAGUAUACCCAUGUGGAAACGCACAACUUUGUUGGAGGGCGACAAAGGAGUACUAUGAAUAGUACCAAUCAAUCAACUGCGUAGCCAUAUCACCAAACAGAACCAUUUGGAAUGACUAGCGAGCCUACCUAAUAUAAUUGGAUAAAAUUUUAAUAAUUAGUAUCAAAAAUUUAAAAUUAAAAUUUUAUUAAUUUAGGCAGCGUUUGGUUAGGGGAUAGGGAUAGAAAUAGACCCUUAUCCCCCUUUAUACCUAAACGCUAAUUUUUUACCCCAAAAUAGUAGUUCUCGGUUAUCCCCACUAAUACCUCCAUUUUCUAUAUAAAACUAUCUAAAAUUGUUCUUAUCCCCGAAAACAACCCAAUUUUCAUCCAAACAUUAUUUUUCUUAUCCCUAUACUUGUACCUAUCCCUGUAAUAGCUAAUUAUUGCUUAUACCCGAACCAAACGGUACCUUAUAGUUUUCACUUAGUUUAAUUUACCUCCAUGGCAAUACUGGAACAUUGAUCAAGUAUUAGCUAUUAGAUAAUUUUUCAAGGAUAACAUGAUAAAAUUGCGUUGCAUUAUACGAGGAAAGAUAAAAAUUAUUAUCAAUUUAGUGCAAUUCAAUCUUUCGUACAAACUACCUCAAAGUCUUAUUAUAUAUGUUGAUUAUAAAAAAUCGAACACUCAACGUAUCAAAAUCCGUUAUAAUCCCACAAUAGUUUUUCUCUUUUUCAUAUGAUUUUCCACCUUUUCUUUCUCUCUCUAACAUCCUCACGAUCUUCAUUUACCUUCAUUUACGUUUUCUCUCGUCUUUUGGCUGAAUUUUGGUUGAUUCUCUGGCCAAAAUUUAGGCACUAGGUCAAAUUUUGGCUAAUUCUCAUAACAAUUUGUUUAUUUUGUCUAAUUUAUUUGUUACGUACUAUAAUUUUUAAGAACACCCUUGAAAUUGGAACUCGAUGGAUCUAGAUGUGGAGGGGUUUCGAUGUGGUUUGAGAUAGUGCCGGAUCGAGAAUGGGUUUUGAAUGGUUGGUUAAUUUUGCGAAUAAUUUUUGUCAUAUCUUGUUCUUCAGUUUUGGCCUUGAAAUCUUAAGAGCUAGAUUUAUUUACUAACUUGUGUAUAGGUUUGAAAGACCGAUUUAUGUAUCUGCUUUUUUUUUUCGCUUUUUUAAGUUACGAAAUCUUCAUCUUCAUCUUCAUCGUCGUCUUCUCAUAAUUAGUUAUGAAAGUACUUAUUUUUUUUUAUUCUUUAUAUGAAUAUAUAUAUUUUAUUAAUGAACUAAUUUAAUAAUUAAUAACCAUUUUUCAAUGAAUUGCCUACGCCCUCUACUCUAAAAAAUUUCGCAGCACUAAAUUUCCAUCCGUAUUAUUAUGACAAACUGAGUGAGAACUUUGCCUAACAGUAACUAUUGAGUUGAAAUUAAAAUUAAGAGGUGUUAAUUAAGAAAAAAUAAAAUAAAAUNUUAGAUAUUAUCUAUUUAAUUUCAAAAUAUAUUUUCUUUUUAAGAUAACGGAUUUUAUUUUUCUAUUUAAUUUCAAAAAUUUAUUUCCUAACAGAUUUUAUUUUUCUAUUUAAUUUCAAAAGUAAUUUUUGCAUUAGUGAUUAUUGUUAAUUAUUUAUCAUUUAAAGCAUAUCUUUCUUAAUAGCGUGAUUUAUUAUUUUAAAUUUUUUAGAUACAUAUUUGGCAAUCAUAUAAAAUAUGGCCUAAAAUUAAAAAAUAAUUUUAAAAAAUUAUAACUUUUUCUAAUAAUUAUUAUGUGCAUUUGCACGUACAUUUUACUAGUAUAUAUAUAUAUAUAAAUUUGUAGUUAACGUCUUUUGACAAUUCAGUUCAAUGUAAAAGUAAAAUUCUUUAAUUUUACAAAUUUUUCCUUGGAUAUGCUCGAGAAACAUAUAUUAAAUUAAUAGGGCAAUUGUUUAUAUAUUUCUGAAAUUUUUUUUAUUUUAUAAUUUAUCUCUCUUAGAAGACUAAUAUUGAAAAUGCAUUUUUUAAGUUCCAACCAAUUUUCAAUAUAUCUCUAGAGUUAAAUUCUUUUAAUGAAUUGUUAGUAAUAGCUGUUAUCUCUAUAAAAUUACUAUUUUGCCCUUUCAAAUAUACUCUUUUAUCGUUAUCAAUUUUUCUUAUUUGCUCUUAAAUUAGAGGCAUGAAAAAUAUUUUAAUUUUUAAUUUUUUUCAAAUAUAUCAUUCUACCAUCACCAAUAUUUUUCAUUUGCCUUUAAAUUAAGGGCAAAAUAGCAAUUUUGAUUUUUUUUUAACUCUAAUAAAUAUUUAACUCAUGUUUAACCCUAAUUAACUUAACGGUUAGUAACUGCAGGAAUAUUUUGAAAUAACGGAGAAAUAUAUGAGGGAUAUAUUGAAAAGAAAAAAAUAUGAAUAAAUGAGAUAUUUUUGAAAUUUUGAGAAGUAUAUAGAUAAUUAUCCCUAAAUUAAAUGUAUGAGAUCCUUCAACAACAAAGAAUUAUGAGAAUGAGCCCUUUGGCCUUAUUUUAUUUUAUUUUUUCUUAAUUAACACCUCUUAAUUUUAAUUUCAACGCAAUAGUACUGUUAGAUAAAGUUCACACUCAAUUUGUCAUAAUAAUACGGAUGGAAAUUAAGUGCUGCGAAAUUUUUUAGAGUGGAGGGCGUAGGCAAUUCAUUGAAAAAUGGUUAUUAUUAUUAAAUUAGUUCAUUAAUAAAAUAUAUAUAUUCAUAUAAAGAAUAAAAAAAACAAGUACUUUCAUAACUAAUUAUGAGAAGAUGAAGAUGAAGAUGAAAAUUUCGUAAUUUAAAAAAGCAAAAAAAAAAAAAGCAGAUACAUAAAUCGGUCUUUCAAACCUAUAUACAAGUUAGUAAAUAAAUCUAGCUCUUAAGCUCUCAAGGCCAAAACUGAAGAACAAGAUAUGACAAAAAUUAUUCGCAAAAUUAAGCAACCAUUCAAAACCCAUUCUCGAUCCUGCACUACCUCAAACCACAUCGAAACCCCUCCACAUCUAGAUCCAUCGAGUUUCAAUUUGAAGGAAUCCAUCGAGUUUCAAUUUGAAGGGUGUUUGUAGUACGUAAAAAAAUAAAUUAGACAAAAUAAACAAAUUGUUAUGAGAAUUAGCCAAAAUUUGACUCAGUACCUAAAUUUUGGCCAGAGAAUCAACCAAAAUUCAGCCAAAAGACGAGAGAAAACGUAAAUGAAAACCCUGAGGAUGUUAGAGGGAGAAAGAAAAGGGUGGAAAAGCAUAUGAAAAAGAGAAAAACUAUUGUGGGAUUAUAACGGAUUUUGAUAUGUUGAGUGUUUGAUUUUUUAUGAUCAACAUAUAUAAUAAGACUUUGAGGUAGUUUGUACGAAAGAUUGAAUUGCACUAAAUUGAUAAUAAUUUUUAUCUUUUCUCGUAUAAUGCAACGCAAUUUUAUCAUGUUAUCCUUGAAAAAUUAUCUAAUAGUUAAUACUUGAUCAAUGUUUCAGUAUUGCCAUGAAAAAGAGAAAAACUAUUGUGGGAUUAUAACGGAUUUUGAUAUGUUGAGUGUUUGAUUUUUUAUGAUCAACAUAUAUAAUAAGACUUUGAGGUAGUUUGUACGAAAGAUUGAAUUGCACUAAAUUGAUAAUAAUUUUUAUCUUUUCUCGUAUAAUGCAACGCAAUUUUAUCAUGUUAUCCUUGAAAAAUUAUCUAAUAGUUAAUACUUGAUCAAUGUUUCAGUAUUGCCAUGGAGGUAAAUUAAACUAAGUUAAAACUAUAAAGUAAUAAAAUUUUAAUUUUAAAUUUUUGAUACUAAUUAUUAAAAUUUUAUCCAGUUAUAUUAGGUUGGCUCACUAAUCAUUCCGAAUGGUUGUGUUUGGUGAUACGUCUAUGUAGUUGAUUGAUUGGUACUAUUCAUAGUACUCCUUUGUCGCCCUCCAAAUGUAGUUGAUUGAUUGGUACUAUUCGUAGUACUCCUUUGUCGCCCUCCAACAAAGAUGUGCGUUUCCACAUAUACUCUAGCACUUCAAUUAUUGACCAAUUUUGUAAUCACAAAUAUAUAUUUCCAAAAAUCAUAACAGUAAAAUAUAAAAGAAUUAAAAUGUCAAAAAUUAAUCAGAGUUAGAUAUUUAACCUAUGGUUAACUAAAUUUUUCUAACGUAUUCUAACGAUACAGACAUAUUUGAAAAUAUCAAAACUUUUACAGAAAAAAUAUAUAAAAAUUAAACUUUAUAGGAAUAUAUUUGUUAUUUAUUAUGUUUGCAAGAACCUGUAUGAAAUUAAUCCUAAAUUCUAUUAUAUCCAAGUAAAACAAUUGAAAUAAUAAAAUAAACAACUAAAGAAAUAUCGAUUAUAAAAAAAAACAAAGCAAAUUUGAGAUGCUAUUCAAAAUGGCCUGUAGUUGAGGGAUCUCUCUACAAUUUCGGCCCUAUAAAAGGAAAGCUAAGGUAAUGGAUACACACCCAGCCACCAAACAGAAAAUAAAAAAAAUUAAAGAAAAUGGUGGAAAUAGAGAGUAAGAAAGGCAAAGAGAGAUGGUCUCUCCAUGGAAUGACCGCUCUCGUCACCGGAGGUACCAGAGGAAUUGGGUAACCUCUGGUCUUCGCUUUUUUCCGACUCACCUUAUAUUAAUAGAAUCAUUUUUACUAUUAUUUUAUAAAAAUAUAUAAUAUUUAUAUAAUUGAAAAAUAAUAUGCAUGUACGUACGUAUGUAUGUGUGAAGCCAUGCGGUGGUGGAGGAGCUACUGAGCUUUGGGGCGGCGGUGCACAUGUGCACACUAGACGAGGCGGAGCUGCGGUCGUGCGUAGAGUGUUGGAAGGGGAUGGGUUACCCGCGAGUGACCGGAUCCGUCUGUGAUGUGUCGUCGCGGGAGCAGCACGAGCAGCUCAUGAAGGAGGUGGCCUCCCUUUUCUCCGGAAAACUCAACAUACUCGUGAGUCUCAUCAUUUUUUUUUUUAAGUAAAUUUCAAAUACUAUCAUUGUGGUUUCGCACUUUCUUAUUUUAGUAUCAUAUGGUUUAAAAUGUAUCAAUUUAAUAUCUUAUGGUUUUUUUUUUUUUCUUUUCAUCAACUUCUCUAUUAACAUUUUAUUAAAUCAUAUAAAAAAACCUUCAAAUACUCUACCUAAAUUUAUCACAUAUUCAUUUUAAUACCUUUUAGUUUUAAUUUUAUCACUGAUUUAACGAAAAAAAAAUAGUAGAUCAGAUAAUAAAAAGAGAAAAAUGAAACCAUGGAGUACUAAUUAAAUUAAUACACUUUAAAGCAUAGGGUGCUAAAAUAUAAAAGUGCAAAAUCACAUUGGUGCUAUUUGAAGUUUUUUUUUUUUUUUCCUCUUUUUCCUUUUUUUUUUUCCAAGCUGUAUAUGCGGGUCACCUUGUAAUUAAGUACUACAUAUUUUUAGAAUUGAAUCUUGUUCUCCUAUCAAUCCACAUGUAAUAGGUUAUAGGUUUUCGAAUAAAAAAAUUAGGAUAAUUUCUGGCUUUUAUAUUUAUCUCUAAAAAAAUACUGCAUUUUGAAAUCUAUUUGUUCAAACUUUAAUUUUUUUUAAAUAGGCCUUUAACACGUGAAUAUUAGAAAAAUAAAAAACUUUCGAAAGGUAUAUUUGAAAUAUGGGACUUUUGUUUAUAUAUUCCUAAUUCUUUUUACAAUUUUUAUUUAUCUUCUAUUUUUUUAAUUUUUUUAAUUAAUUAAUUUUUUUUUAAAUUAAUAAAAUUAUUUUGAUAACCUUAAAUAUUUAAGAUAUUUUUAAAAAUUUUGAAAGAUAUUCUAGAUAUUAUCCCUUGAAAUAAAGAAUAAAUAUAAAACUCAACAACUUUUUAUAAAUAUGUCCACAGUUAUCUUAUUAAGGAAAUUUGGGACGAUGGAGCUAGAAAAAGUGAUUUAUGAUUGACAUGGUGGUAUCCGUCACACAAAAGAAAAUUAGGGACUUGUUUUAACAAUUUGUUUAAAUACCUAAAUUUUAACUAUAAUAAAAUGUGCAUAUACUAAUAAUGUUUUUUUUUUUUUUUUGAGAAAUGCUACACGCCAGUAGAACAACAUAACAAGGCCUCUUUUUUAUUUUUAAAUAUUCUAAUAUUUACAUGUAAUAUUUUCAUGAUAAUGUACUGUACAUGCCAUUAAUUGAUACGCAGGUAAACAACGUAGGAACAAACAUAGUAAAACCAACUACAGAGUACGCCCAAGAGGAUACUGCGCACAUAUGGACUACUAACUUUGAAUCAGGCUAUCAUCUCAGCCAGCUCUCGCAUCCACUUCUGAAGGAAUCAGGACACGGCUCGAUCGUCUUCACCUCUUCUAUCGCCGGUAUCGCCGCUCUACCUUACGGGACCCCUUACGCUGCAACUAAAGGUAAUAGCUUUUAGUUUUGAAGAAUUUGAACUUAUGAUCUCAUUGUUCUGAUAAUCAAACUUUGCAUUGUAACGCAGGAGCAAUUAACCAGCUGACGAAGAAUCUGGCAUGCGAGUGGGCCAAGGACCACAUUCGGGCUAACUGUGUCGCACCUUCAUUCACUAGAACUCCCUUAGCUGCUCCGGUUAGUUGUAGCUUUCUCGCUCAUUCUUUUUUCUUUUUUUUUUUGCUUUUACUUUAAUUUUUUUUAGAUUCCUAGAGGUUACUAAACAAACUAGAACGCAAAUGGAUCUUAGUCAGUGAAGCUCUCAUUCCGAUCCACUUUGAAUGGGAUAGUAAACAGAGAAUCCCUCUCUGCCCUAUCCGCUAAUAAAAUGGAGUAGUAAAUUGAGGAUUCCUAUCGUCUCUUGAUUCGCUCCGAUUUAUCAAAAUUUAUGAAGCUCUGUUUUCGUCCCAAACUGCUCUGGAGAGAACAGUAAAUAAGGACAAAAAAUAAUAUAAAUCAACAUGUUCUAAGUCUAUCCUGACUCGCUAAAAAAAUAGGGAGGCUAUAACUGUGAGUUAAAAGGUGUAAUUUGUUGUGUGGGAUUAGAGUUGGACCUUUUCCUGAGAUUGUGGGGUUGAUCAAAACCAGUCCAAAGUAUGAAACCCAAUCGGAUCAUUCUUAAACUCAAUUCCUAAUUUUAAAUUAGCAGCAGAUUUUAAAAGGUUUUAGAAUACUCGGUUAUUUCAGAUAUCUCAUCAUAGCUCUAUUUAUAUUCAUUGCAGUAUCUUGACGAGCAGACGCUGGCGAAGGUUCGAUCUCGCACGCCACUCGGGCGAAUUGCGGAGCCCGAGGAGGUGUCAUCGGCGGUGGCAUUCCUUUGCCUCCCGGCAACUUCUUAUAUCACCGGACAAACUAUCACGGUCGAUGGAGGCACGACAAUAAAUGGGUUUUUCUUUAAUUAGAAAUUACCCGCUAAACUUAAUAUCCAUGAUUAAAUAAGAUGGGAAUUAAUAAGGGUUCCAGAGUUGUAUAUAUAUGUUGCUACGUACUUCUCCAAAAGUCCUAUAUAUGCAGAUGUUCCCUAACUAAUGUGCUUAUUGCUUUUUUUUUCUUUUUUUUCUUUUUUUUGUGUGUGUGUGUGUUUUUUUGACCUUUUUACCAAAACAAUCUUAUUGACACUCCCUCAAUUUAUGGUAAAAAAAAAUAUUUAAAUUGAAAGAUAAAAAACACUCCCUAAUUUUCGGGAAGUUUGGUUGUCUCUAUCUUUACAUCAAAUCCAUCAAUAAUAACUUUGUAAAAACACAAUCUUUUUUUUAUAAAAUAUUUUUUUUAGGGGUUUAGCAAACUUAUUGAACAAGCUAAUCAAUAACAGUGUUGAAUUAUUUUUAAAAAAAUAAUAAAAAAAUUGAAUGGAUUAACAUGAAAUUAUCCAGUUUGGUACGGUUCGAUCUGCACUAUCCGGUUGAGGACUGUGCUGGGUCAUAGGUCUAAAAACGUAUGGCUUGGUAUGACAUGAGCUAGAUUUGAAGCCAUGUUGGAUCAAGCCGACCCUGCGUCAAGUUUGGCCCAAAUGAAUAUGAGCCGUACUGGACUAGCACGACCUUCAUUACAUUCUUAAAUACAAUGCACUCUCACCGUCUUGUCUUCGAACAAUCACCGUGGAGCUAUAAAGAUAACAAAUAGACAACGAGAUGCUACCUUUUUCUCAAGGAAACAAAUAGACAACGAGAUUUGUUUAUAAACUUGCAUCAGUAUUUCGGUAUGUAUUAGUGCGGUAGCUGAUUAUUUCAAAUGAAAAAUAAUACAUUCAUAGCAGAUUUUAUUAUUAGCAGAACAAAAAGCUCAAAUCAUAACUAAAUUCAACAUAUCUAUUCAGUCAGUAUCAAAAGUUAUUUUGGAUUAUAUCAAAUUCCAAAUAGGAUCUGGUUGAGGAAUAGGUUGGUUCUAUUGAGUUUUGAUUGUAACUGUGGCGCACUCAAAUUAAGUCUCAAAUCAGAUGUGCUUAUCUACUGAAUUAAAGUUUAACACUUCUAUUAUUGACCAAAAGUGAUUGAUAUGGAAUUGCUGGAGGGCAUGUAAUUUUAAUCAAUUUGAGCAAACUUCAUACUAUUUUCAAUAAUUUUAUUAAACUUAAUAAUUUUAACUCUCAGAUGUAUUAAUAGUAAAAUUUAACGAAAUGUUCAAUAUAUCUAAGUAAAACAACUUAAAUAACAAAAUUAGAAUUAAAAGAGAUUUCAAUGAAAAAGAGUGUAAAAUUGAGAAGUCUUAUCUUUAAAUCUUCCGUAGUUGAGGGAUCUCUCUGCAGUUUUAUAUCUCUUUCACCUAAUUUGGCCUCUUCUCUCUCUCUCUCUCUCUCUCUCUCUCUCUCUCUCUGCCAACCCCAACCCCCCCACACACACACACACACACAGAGAGACAGAAAUGGAGGAAACAGAGAGUAAGAAAGGCAAAGAGAGGUGGUCUCUUCAUGGAAUGACUGCUCUGGUCACCGGAGGUACCAAAGGAAUUGGGUAAUCUCUCUUCUCUGCCUUCUUCAAAGUUCUUAUCUAUCAUUUAUUAAUAGAAUCAUUUUUACUAUUUAUUUAGCUAUGCGGUGGUGGAAGAGCUACUGAGCUUCGGGGCGGCAGUCCACACGUGCGCGAGAAAUGAGACAGAGCUGCAGUCGUGUGUGGAGAGGUGGAGGGGGAUGGGUUACCCGCGAGUGACCGGAUCCGUCUGCGACGUUUCGUCGCGGAAGCAGCGCGAGCAGCUCAUGAGCGAGGUGGCCUCCCUCUACGCUGGAAAACUCAACAUACUUGUGAGUAGAGUGCUCUCUCUUUCACUCUUUCUUUAAGAAAUGCUUGAUCUAAAACCACAAAAAAUUAUCUUAGAAUUUUUUAGAAUUCAAUAAAAUUUUUAAAAAAUUUUAGUAAACAAAUUGGUCGCAAUUUGAUUUGUAGAUUAAAAGUAGACAUUAAAUAGAAUGAUUGUAGAAUUAUAGACCUAGUAAUUUUGUUUUUUAAUCGAUGAGAGUGGAAUUCCAGUUAAUUAAGUACCACAGAUUUUUAUAAUUGGAACUUGUACUCUGUUCGAUAUCUUUGUUUACACAUUAUUUGGAUUGGGUAUAAGAAAGAGGAUAAGACCUUUAUCCCCUUUCUUGUACCCAAACACAAAUCCAUCUUGGUGGGAACUACAGUUCCUAUCCAUACCAGGUUAUUCAAGAUAACCCGCUAUGGGUGGGAAUCGUAGUUCGUGGAAAUAAGCUUGUUCUCACCCAUUUUGAUAGAAUUAUAAUUUUUUUUUCUUUAUACCUCUACUAAUUUAAUAAUAAAAUAUUUUUAAUUAAUAUAUUAUAUAUUAUUUUAUAAAUUAAUUAGCUAAAUUAAUACUUAAUUAAUUUAAUAAUAAAAUAUUAGAUAAAUUAAUAAUUAGUUUGUGUGUUUAUGUAAUAACUAAUAUCUAUAUUGAUUAAUCAAUUAAAUAUUUUGGCCAAUAUAACUAAUUAAAUAGAAGUACUUUAUUUUAUUAAUAUAUUAAUUUAAUAUCUUAAUUUAUUAACUUAUCAAAUUAUUUAUAAUUAGUUAAUUUAUUAAUUAACAGUACUCAUAUUUAAUUAAUCAAUGAUUUGUUCUAAUUAAUUUAUUAAUUAACAUUUAAAUUAUCCAAUAAUAUUCAGGAUAAAUUAAUUAAUUAAUUUAUUAAAUAUCAUUUACUUAAUAUUUUAAUGUUAAUUAUAUAUAUAUAAUGUUAUUAUUUAACUAUUAUAAUUACUCUUCUUUCUAUUAUUCCUAUCUAACUAAUCAAACAUUAUUUUUUUUAUUCUUGAAAAUGAACCACUUUUCAUCCAAACGUAAAAUUACUCUUAUUUUUAUUUAUUCCCAAAGUUGUACCUAUCUAGGAAUAACCAAAAAAAGAUUUAUUCCAAAACCAAUGCGUAACCAAGAGAACCGCCUCGAGAGGCCGUACAAUGUAAAUAGUUUUUUAUCUCUAAAAAUUACAGUUACCUAUAAAUAACCCACUUAGCCUUAAAAAAUCACUAGCACAUCCCUUUAUUUAAGGAUCGAAAAUCUAAAAACACUAAUAACCAGAUUCUUUUAAAAGCAUAAGAGUUCACUUUUAUAUAGAUAUGUAUGCAUGUAUGUAUAUUCGAACUGAUUCCAACUUGGGUUCAAUCCUUUAAGAUUUCUAGUUGAAAAAUUCAACUAAUGUUCUGCUUAUUUAUUAGAUGAGCGAUCGAUUUUGAACUCAUUACAAGUCGAGCACGAACUGACUCGCAAACUCUAAUAUGAAUAGCCAUUUUCUUUACAAUUUAAGUGUGAUCGAUAGUUAAUAUAUACGCAGAUAAACAAUGCGGGAACAGACAUAACAAAACCAACUACAGAGUACACUAAAGAGGAUGCUGCGCACAUAUGGGCCACUAACUUUGAAUCAGCCUUUCAUCUCAGCCAACUCUCGCAUCCUCUCCUGAAGGAAUCGGGACGCGGCUCGAUCGUCUUCGUCUCCUUCGUCGCCGGCGUUGUUGCGAUACCUUACGGAACCCCUUAUGCUGGAACUAAGGGUAAUUAUUUUUUAUUUUUUCAAAAAUUAUAUAUAGGGAGGUUUUGAACUUUCGACCUUAUAAUUAUGAUAAUAAUCAAACAUUGCGCUGUAACGCAGGAGCAAUGAAUCAGCUGGCGAAGAAUCUAGCGUGUGAGUGGGCAGUGGACCAUAUUCGUGCUAACAGUGUCGCACCUUGGUUUACGAGAACUCCGCUAGCUGAUCCGGUUAGUUGUGGCUUCCUCGCUCAUUCUUUUUUCUUUUUCUGCUUUAAUUAAAUUUAUUAUUUAAGAUGCCUAGAUACUAGGAAUGCAAAUGGAUCUGAAUAGGUGGAGUUCUCGUCCCGAUCCACUUCGAAUGGAAUAAUAAGUGAGAGUCCAAAAUAAAGAAAAUACUAGAUAAGUACCCGCGCUUCGCGGCGGACAACAAAAUUUACCGUGAACACACAACAAUAAAUGCUAAACAACAUAAUAAAAUAAUAUUUGCACAAAUAUUUGUGCUACUAAAGAUUAAUUCAGAUCCAAAGACUAAACAAAACCAUGAAGGCGGAGAAUCCGAAGGGAGGAAUUGCUACCGCUCACCUUGGAGGAGCCGCGAGGGGAGUCGCCCUCGGAAUCGAGCUCGUCGAAGGAGGAGGAGGAGGAGGCGGCGGCGACGACGAUGGCGACUGAGGAGGCCAUCAUCAGAAAUGUCUUUUUGUUUUUUUUCAUGUGAAACCGUGCAUCAUCAAACAGGUGAAUCAUCCUAAUCUAUUAUCAAAUCUGAGAAGGAAAAAAAGGCAUAGAAUGCCUCCUUUAUUGGAUCAAAGAGCACUAUUUCUACCAGCAUCAAAGAAAUUAAAUCCAAGCUAACCUCAUCAAUAUAAUACCUAAAUGAAUCCAAUUGUUCAACUCCUGAGCAAAGCCAACAACUACUAAAUCCCAUCUAUGAGAUUGCUAUGAGCAAUAAAAAACCCAUUUUUCUUAGAACUAAUAGUUAGCACAUAUGCAUCCCAAAUUGAUCCCCUGCAGUUCGAACAGAUAUAGCUGAAUUAAAACCACAGCUAAUAGACUCAUGAAACCCUAGAAAGAGAAGCAACUACUGCUGUGUGUAAACAGCAAAUAAAAUGAAAAAGGGCAGCAAAAAGCAAGUUAUGAAACUGACCAUGGAUGAGGAAACAACCAUCUUCUUCAGCAGAUUCUGAUACCCCAUUCCUGCAAAUGCGAUGGGAUUGAUUAAAAAGGUUAGUUUUUUUAUGGUUUUUGGAGAACAGAGUAGGGGAUUGGAUGGUUCAAAAGAUGAUCUUUUGAUGAACCAACCAAAACCCAGAUGAGAAAAUUGGGGAAAAAGGGGAAAUUUGCAUGAGGAAAAUAGGAUUUGAUUAGAUAAAACCUUUGCAUUCGAGGCCCAAAGAGAGCUAAAGGAGGAGCAAAUGAAGCAGCAGCAGCAGCAGCAGCAGCAGUUGUAGGGAGAGGAGUUGUAGGGAGAGGAAUAUGAGGAGAAGAGGGAGUGUAGUGGAGAGAGAUUUUUUCUUUGUUUGUUUACCUAAAUGCGAGCGCGGAUUCCUGUGGGGUGAUCGGAGAGAGGUCGGAGAGAAAGAGAGGCGGGAUCAGAGAGAGAGAGCCGGGAUAGGAGAGAGAGAGGCGGGGGCGAGGCGGUGGCCAAGAGAUCCUCGCCAGAUCUCAAACCGGCGAGAAUCGUGCCGCGAAUCACGGCGGGAGGUCGGAGAGACCGCGGAUCCCGACAGGUAGAUCGGACGGCGGGUUGCAGAGAGAGAAAGAGAGGGGAACAGCACGGAAGGGAAAAAAAAACGCCGCAGAUCGCGCCGCGGAUCCCGGCGGAUCUGCGUAGGGAGAUCGGAGAGAGAGAGAUGCGGGGAGCCACAUCACCCGUGCCUGGCCCGCGUCGGCUCGCACCCGGCCCGCGCCGACUCGCACCAGCACCAGCACCCGCCCCGGCUCGCGCCCGCGCCCGCGCCCGCCCGCGCCGGCGCCUCGGCUCCUCGCUGGUAGCCCCCACCGGACCCCCCAAAAACACGGGGAGAGAUCCGUACUAAAAAAAAAAGUACAGUGCCAGCCGUGAUGUACGAAGCCACACAGAGGGACCCACCCAGACCGAAAACGCGAAUGCACUGUGGAGCGAGUUUUCGAUUCGCCCUUUAAUAUAUUGGUAUUGAUAAUUUGUUCCCAAUUCAGCUCUAUCUGCUAAAAAAAAUAGAGAAGUAAGCGGAAAAUGCCUUUCAUCUCUCCAUUCAUUUUGAACUGCCGAAAAUUUAUAAAAAUUUUGUCCCAGUCUGAUGGAACAAAAUAGUACAAAUCAAUUUCUUCUAAAUUUAUCCUGACUCGCUAAGAAAAUAGGGUGACCCCGGGAUCCUCCCCAUUAACAUUUCUAAUACGGAUACUUUUUAUAUUCAAAACCGAAUUCAAAGCCGACUCAUAUAGCCCGGUAACCAUGAGUUAAACUGUGUAAUUUGUUGUGUGGGAUUGGACUUGGACCUUUUGGGGUUGAUCAAAAUUAGCAUCGAAUAUCAGCAUCUUAAAAGGUUUUGGAGUAUUCGGUUAUUUCAGCAAGUCUAAUCUUAUAUCUAUUUGUACUCUCUAUAGAGUCUUGACGAGCAGACACUGGCGAAGAUCAGAUCUCGCACGCCGCUCGGGCGAAUUGCAGAGCCGGAGGAGGUGUCGUCCGCGGUGGCAUUCCUUUGCCUCCCUGCAGCUUCUUAUAUCACCGGACAAACCAUCACCGUCGACGGAGGCAUGACGAUAAAUGGGUUCUUCUUUAAUUAGAAUAGAAUUUACCCGCUAAACUUAAUUAAUAUCCAUGAUUAAGUAAGAUGGGGAUUAAUGAGAGUUCCAAAGUUGUAUGUUGGCAUGUUGCUACUUCUCCAAAAGUCCUAUAUAUGCAGAUGUUCGGUAACGAAUGUGCUUAGUGCUAUUAUUUUAUUUUUUAUUUUUUUGUGUGUGUUUUUAAUUUUUAACAUUGUGGUUAGCCAAUUACCAAAACCAUUUUAUUGACACUCCCACAAUUUAUAGUUAAAAAAAAUUAAAAUUGAAAGCUAAAAUCUACUCUCUUUUUUUCUCGGUUGUUUGCCUGUCUCCAUCUUUACAUCAAAUUCAUCAAUAUAAAUUUUAUUGAAAAAAUAAAUCUUUUUAUGAUAAAGUAUUUUUUUAAGGAAUAUAAUAAACUUAUUGAUCGCUCGUACCGAUUAGACCAGCUAAUAAUAGUGCCGAAUUAUUUUUUAAAAAAUAAUAAACAAUUUAAUGAAUAGACGCGAAAUCUAAUUUGGUACGGUCUGAUCUGCACUGUCAGGGUGCUGUGGUGGGUCCUAAGCCAGGUAGACAUGAAACCUAAUUUGGUACGGAUAAAAAAUUAUCAAAAUAAGAUUAUUAAGUUUAAUCUUAUUUUGAUAAUAUCAAAAUUUAUUUUGGAUUAUAUCAAAUUCCAAAUGAAUGGUAGUGUUUGAGGAUCUGGUUGAGGAAUAGGUUGGUUCUAUGGGGUAUUGAUCGUACCUGUGGCGCACUCAAAUUAAGUCUCAAAUCAGAUGUGCUUAUCCACUGGAUUAAAGUUUAACAUUCCUAUUAUUGACCAAAAGUGAUUGAUAUGAAAUUGCUGGGGGGCGUGUAAUUUUAAUCAAUUUGAGCAAACCUCAUACUAAAUUUCUCAAUAAUAUUAUUAAACUUAAUAAUUUUAACUCUCAGUAUAUAAAAUUGAACUAUUUACCGUCCCACCUCAAAUGUAUUAAUAGUUAAAUUUAAUGAACUGUUCAAUAAAUCUAAGUAAAACAACUUAAAUAACAAAAUUAGAAUUAAAAGAGACUUCAAUGAAAAAGAGUGUAAAAUUGAGAGGUCUUAUCUUUAAAUCUCCCAUACUUGAGGGAUCUCUCUACAGUUUUAGCCUUAUAAAAGGAAAGCCAAGGUAAUGGAUACCAACACCAACCCCAAAAAAAAAAAUCACACACAAAUGGAGGAAACGGAGAGUAAGAAAGGCAAAGAGAGGUGGUCUCUUCAUGGAAUGACUGCUCUGGUCACCGGAGGUACCAAAGGAAUUGGGUAAUCUCUCUUCUCCGCCUUCUUUAAAUUUUUUUAUCUAUCAUCUUAUAUUAACAGAAUUACUUUUACUAUUUAUUUUAGCUAUGCGGUGGUGGAGGAGCUACUGAGCUUCGGGGCGGCGGUGCAUACGUGCGCACGAAACGAGGCGGAGCUGCGGUCGUGCCUGGAGCGGUGGAGGGGGAUGGGUUAUCCGCUAGUGACCGGAUCCGUCUGCGACGUGUCGUCGCGGGAGCAGCGCGAGCAGCUCAUGAACGAGGUGGCCUCCCUCUACGCCNAACGGAGUGGAUUAUCAAAUCGGAUGUCCUAUAAUCGAAAAUAACUUUCAAGCACAGAGGCUUCCGUACCUUCGAAAGCGUAAGAACCUGAUUCUAUAUAAUUUUAAAAUAUUCAACUUAUAUUCAGCUUAUUUAUUAAACUAGUGACCAAUUUCAACCUUAUUUCAAGUUGAACACGAGUUGUCUCGUAAAUCCUAAUACGAAUGGCCAUUUCGUUUACGAUAUGUGUGAUAAUUAAUUUAUAUGCAGGUAAACAACGCCGGAACAAACAUACCAAAACCAACUACAGAAUGCAGUGAAGAAGUUGCUGCGCACAUAUGGGCCACUAACUUCGAAUCAGCCUAUCAUCUCAGCCAGCUCUCGCAUUCUCUCCUGAAGGAAUCGGGAUGCGGCUCGAUCGUCUUCGUCUCCUCCGUCGCCGGUGUUGUUGCGAUACCUUACGGAACCCCUUACGCUGGAACUAAGGGUAAUUAGCUUUUAUUUUUCUUAAAAUUAUAUAUAUGCGGAGGUUCGAACUUUUGACCUUAUAAUUAUGGUAAUCAAACAUUAUGCUGCAAUUCAGGAGCAAUGAAUCAGCUAACGAAGAAUUUAGCGUGUGAGUGGGCGAAGGAUCACAUUCGGGCUAACUGUGUCGCGCCUUGGUUUACGAGAACUCCGCUAGUGAAUCCAGUGAGUUGUGGCUUUCUCCCUUUUUUUUUUUUUCUUUUUUUUCUUGGACUAGGAAUGCAAAUCGAUCCGAGCCGGUGGAGCUCCCAUCUCAAUUCGUUCUGAAUGAGACAAUCAGUGGACCCCAAUCCGCUCUAUCAGCGAAGAGAAUGUAGCUUUUUUUUUUUUUUUUGCUUUAAAUUUUUUAGAUGCCUAGAGGUCACACUAGGAAUGUAAAUGGAUGUGAGUCAGUAGUGCUCCCAUUCCGAUCAGCUCUGAAUAGGACAGUAAACAGAGGACCCCUAUCCACCCUAUCCGCUAAGAAAAUAGAGCAGUAAAGAGAGAAUCCCUUUUGUCCCUUGAUUUACUUUCAUCCAGCAAAAAUUUAUAAACCUCCAUUUUCUUUUAGAACAGCUUCGGAUGGAACAGUAAGUGAGGAUAGAAAAUAGGAUAAAUCAAAAUUUGUUCUAAAUUCGUCCUAACUCGCCAAGAAAAUAGGGCAGCCCCCCGAGUCCGUCAUGUUUGCAUUUCUAAUACAGACGCUUUUUAUAUAUUUGAAUCCGAAUUCAACACUGACUCAUGUAGCCAUGAGUUAGAAUGGUGUAAUUUGUUGUGUGGGAUUGGAGUUGAACCUUUUUCCUAAGAUUGUAAGAUUGAUCAAAACCAGUCCAAAGCGCGAAACCCAAUCGAUCAUUCUUAAACUCAAUUCCUAAUUUUAAAAUUAGCAUAGAAUUUUACUGUAAAAAAUAUUAACUUAUGGCACAAUGAAAUAAAGAAAAAAUGGUGUUCAUAAUAUUGUAGUUCAAAAUUUAUAGAAUGAGAUCAUUAAUUGGAGCCAUUUGAAAAGCCCGAAAGCGUAUAAAAUAAUAAAAAUAUUAUUCUUUAACAUCUAAAAAGAUUUUAGAGUACUCGGUUAUUUCAGAGAUCUAAUCAUAACUCUAUUUAUACUCAUCGCAGUUUCUCGACAAGCAGACACUGGCAAAGAUCCGAUCUCGCACGCCGCUCGGGCGAAUUGCGGAGGCGGAGGAGGUGUCGUCGGCGGUGGCAUUCCUUUGCCUCCCUGCAGCUUCUUACAUCACCGGGCAAACCGUCACGGUUGAUGGAGGCGUGACAAUAAAUGGGUUUUUCUUUAAUUAGAAUAGAAUUUGCCCGCUAAACUUAAUUAAUAUCCAUGAUUAAAUAAGAUAGGGAUUAAUGAGAGUUCCAAAGUUGUAUGUUGCUACUUCUAUGUAUGUCCUAUUUAUGCAGAUGUUCCGUAACGAAUGUGCUUAUUGCUAUUUUUUUAUUUUUUAUUUUUUUUUUUGUAUGUGUUUUUGACUUUUUAACAUUGCCGUUAGCCAAUUACCAAAACCAUUUUAUUGACAAUCCCUCAAUUUAUAUUUAAAAAAAUUAAAAUUGAAAGCUAAAAUAUACCCCCUUUUUUUCGGAUGUUUGCUUGUCUCCGUCUUUACAUUAAAUCCAUCAAUAUAAACUUUGUUUAAAAAACAAAUCUUUUUAUGAUAAAGCUUUUUUUAAGAGAUUUAGCAAACUUAUUGACCGCUCGUACUGAUUAGACGAGCUAAUAACAGUGUUGUAUUAUUUUUUUUAAAAAAAUAAAAAAUUUAAUUGAUAGAAACGAAAUCCAGUUUGGUACGGUCCGAUCUGGACUACCAGGGUGAGGGCUAUGCUGGGUCAUAGACAACGGUGUCAAUGAGUACGAUCUGCAUUACAUUCCUAAAUACAAUGCGCUCUCACCGUCUUGCCUUCGAACAAUCACCAUGGAGCUAUAAAGUUAACAAAUAGACAACGAACCGACCGUUCCUAAAGCAAAUGACAAAAAAUUUGGUGGUUGGUAUCUGAGAUCCAAGUUCGAAUCCUAAUUGAUUCACAUUUCCAGCUAAGUUUAUUUCUAAAUAAAAUAAACGAAGCAAGUAGCAUGCUAUCUAUCUCUCAAAAAAAAAAAAAAAAAACAAAUAGACAACGAGAUUUGUUUCUAAACUUGCAUCAAUAUUUCGAUAUGUAUUGGUGCGGUGGCCGACUAUUUUGAAUGAAAAAUAAUACAUUCAAUGUAAAUUUUAUUAUUAACAAAACAAAAAAGUUCAAAUUAUGAUUAAAUAUAACAUAUCUAUUUUGAUAAUAUCAAAAAUUAUUUUGGAUUAUAUCUAAUUGCAAAUGAAUGGUGGUGUUUGAGGAUCUGGUUGAGGAAUAGGUUGGUUCUAUGGGGUAUUGAUCGUACCUGUGGCGCACUCAAAUUAAGUCUCAAAUCAGAUGUGCUUAUCCACUGGAUUAAAGUUUAACACUCAUAUUAUUGACCAAAAGUGAUUGAUAUAAAAUUGCUGAGGGUAGUGUAAUUUUAAUCAAUUUGAGCAAACCUCAUACUAAAUUUCUCAAUAAUAUUAUUAGACGUAAUACUUUUAACUCUCAGUAUAUAAAAUUGUACUAUUUACCUUCCCAUCUCAGAUGUAAUAAUAGUUAAAUUUAAUGAAAUGUUCAAUAUAUCUAAGUAAAACAACUUAAAUAACAAAAUUAGAAUUAAAAGAGACCUCAAUAAAAAAGAGUGUAAAAUUGAGAACUCUAUUUUAAAUCUCCCAUACUUGAGGGAUCUCUCUACACUUUUAGCCUUAUAAAAGGAAAGCCAAGGUAAUGGAUACCAACACCAACCCCAAAAAAAAAAUCACACACAAAUGGAGGAAACAGAGAGUAAGAAAGGCAAAGAGAGGUGGUCUCUUCACGGAAUGACUGCUCUGGUCACCGGAGGUACCAAAGGAAUUGGGUAAUCUCUCUUCUCCGUCUUUUUUUAAUUUUCUCAUCUAUCAUUUAUUAACAGAAUCAUUUUUACUAUUUAUUUUAGCUAUGCGAUCAUGGAGGAGCUACUGAGCUUCGGGGCGGCGGUGCAUACGUGCGCACGAAACGAGGCGGAGCUGCGGUCGUGCCUGGAGCGGUGGAGGGGGAUGGGUUAUCCGCUAGUGACCGGAUCCGUCUGCGACGUGUCGUCGCGGGAGCAGCGCGAGCAGCUCAUGAACGAGGUGGCCUCCCUCUACGCCGGAAAACUCAACAUACUUGUGAGCAGAUAACUCUCUCCCUCACUCUUUUUUUAAGAAAUGCUUGAUUUACAACCAAAAAAAAAUUAUCUUAGAAUUUUUUUAGAAUUCACUAAUUUUUUAAAAAAUUUUUAGUAAACAAAUCGGUCGCAACUGGAUUUGUAGAUUAAAAGUAGACAUUGAAUAGAAUGAUUGUAGAAUUAUAGAUCUAGUAAUUUUGUUUUUUAAUCGAAGUGUGAGUCGCAUUCCAGUUCAGUUUUCACGCUUAAGUACCAAUCACAUGUAGUUGGUCAUAGCCUUUUAGGCUGAUCCAGAUUUUUGACUUCCAUGGUAUCAAAAGAGAGAAUAAAAGAAAAUAGGAAUGAGGUGGAAAAGUUUGUUCAUGGUUGAUAUGGACCAUACGUGUCCAAAUUUGUGUGGUAUAAAUUAUUUUCGAAUUUUAUUAUAAUAUAUUGUUUUUUUAUCGAAAUGUUUGAUUUCGGCCCGGUACAGCUCAGGCCCGUUGCGGGCCGUCGGGCCUUAAAAGGAGCAGCCCAGCAUGACCGGGCACAGACGCUACAGUAUCCACCGUGCCGUGUUGUAGUCCGGAUCGAGGCCGUGCCGGACAGAGCAGCCUAUUUUACAUCCCUAUCUAAAAGUUAAAGUUACCUAUAAAUAUAAUAUUUUAAACUUAUUUAACGCUUUAUAUUAAAUAAUACUAUAUAUAUUUAUUUUAUGUUUUAAUUUUUCAUCCUAGAUUUUGAACGGUUAAAAUUUACUCAUUUGUCUUAUUAAUUUUUUUAAUACUAAAAAUUGAAAUUUAUUUUUAAAUUCUUGAAUUAUAAAGUGUAAAGUAUACAUCCUAAAAUAAAGCCCAUCAACGAGCCAAAUACAAAUGAGCUGGGCAGGCUCGUGUUCACUCGUUUGAACGAGAUGAACACAAGUUGACUCGCGAAAAAUAAACUAGAUUGUCAAACCCAACUACUGAGUGAAAAGUUGAAAAAAAAAUAAAUAAUUAAAAUCUUAAUCUAAUAAUUAAAUUUUAUAAAAUAUAAAUCUCCUUAUAUUUGGGAGGCAUAUUUUUUAAAUAGUAGAAAUAUUUAAUAUAUAUAUAUAUAUAAAGAGAGAGAGAGAGAGAGUACGUCUUCUACACUUUCGAAAGCACGGAGCUCUCCGUAUUUAUAAGUUAUUUUUGAUGAUGGAACAUCCAAUUUGAUGAUCAGCUCCGUUAAGUAUAAUAUAUUCUAUUAGAACUAUUUAGAAACUAAAUUUCAUAAUUUUUCGACAUUAUUUAUCAAGUGAUUAAAGGGUCUCAAAAAUGACUAUUUUAAUAGUCGAUAUAGCACGUUUGUAAGUUCAACAGUGUAGAAGAAUCCAAAUUAUUUGAAACUUUAAUAAAAAAAAUUUAUUUAAUAUCAAGAGAAAAAACAACACUUUUAAUUUGAAGUUUGAAUCUUUUAUCAUUAUUUUUUUAUAAAAUUUUGAUUUUCAAUCGUUCAUUUUGAAGCUACACGUUUACUAGGCAAACAUAAUCAAAAAAUUAUAAAAUUUGAUUUUUAAAUAGUUAUAAUAAUGUAGAUCAGCCCUAACGGAGUGGAUUAUCAAAUCGGAUGUCCUAUAAUCGAAAAUAACUUUCAAGCACAGAGGCUUCCGUACCUUCGAAAGCGUAAGAACCUGAUUCUAUAUAAUUUUAAAAUAUUCAACUUAUAUUCAGCUUAUUUAUUAAACUAGUGACCAAUUUCAACCUUAUUUCAAGUUGAACACGAGUUGUCUCGUAAAUCCUAAUACGAAUGGCCAUUUCGUUUACGAUAUGUGUGAUAAUUAAUUUAUAUGCAGGUAAACAACGCCGGAACAAACAUACCAAAACCAACUACAGAAUGCAGUGAAGAAGUUGCUGCGCACAUAUGGGCCACUAACUUCGAAUCAGCCUAUCAUCUCAGCCAGCUCUCGCAUUCUCUCCUGAAGGAAUCGGGAUGCGGCUCGAUCGUCUUCGUCUCCUCCGUCGCCGGUGUUGUUGCGAUACCUUACGGAACCCCUUACGCUGGAACUAAGGGUAAUUAGCUUUUAUUUUUCUUAAAAUUAUAUAUAUGCGGAGGUUCGAACUUUUGACCUUAUAAUUAUGGUAAUCAAACAUUAUGCUGCAAUUCAGGAGCAAUGAAUCAGCUAACGAAGAAUUUAGCGUGUGAGUGGGCGAAGGAUCACAUUCGGGCUAACUGUGUCGCGCCUUGGUUUACGAGAACUCCGCUAGUGAAUCCAGUGAGUUGUGGCUUUCUCCCUUUUUUUUUUUUUAUUAAACUUUUUUAAGAUGCCUAGUGGUUAAUACACNCUUUAUUAGGCAUGAUCUAUAUUAUUAUAACUAUUUAAAGUUUGAAUCUUUUAUCAUUAUUUUUUAUAAAAUUUUUAUUUUUAAUCGUUCAUUUUGAAGCUACACGUUUACUAAGCAAACAUUAUAAAAAAAUUAUAAAAUUUGAUUUUUAAAUAGUUAUAAUAAUAUAGAUCAUGCCUAAUAAAGUCGAUUAUCAAAUCGGAUGUCCUAUAAUCGAAAAUAACAUACAAGCACGGAGACCUCCGUACCUUCAAAAGCGUAGAAGCCUAGUUCUAUAUAAUUUUAAAAUAUUCAACUUAUAUUCAGCUUAUUUAUUAAACUAGUGACCAAUUUCGAGCUUAUUUUGAGGCGAACACGAGCUGUCUCAUAAAUCCUAAUAUGAUUAGCCAUUUUCUUUAUGAUAUGUGUGAUAAUUAAUUUAUAUGCAGGUAAACAACGCGGGAACAAACAUACCUAAACCAACUACAGAAUACAGUGAAGAAGAUGUCGCGCACAUAUGGGCCACUAACUUUGAAUCAGCCUUUCAUCUUAGCCAGCUCUCGUAUCCUCUCCUGAAGGAAUCGGGACGCGGCUCGAUCGUCUUCGUCUCCUCUGUCGCCGGUGUUGUUGCGACACCUUAUGGAACCCCUUACUCUGGAACUAAGGGUAAUUAGUUUUUAUUUUUUUUAAAAUUAUAUAUGUACGGAUGUUCGAAUUUUUGACCUUAUAAUUAUGAUAAUCAAACAUUAUGCUGCAAUUCAGGAGCAAUGAUUCAGCUGACAAAGAAUUUAGCGUGUGAGUGGGCGAAGGACCACAUUCGGGCUAACUGUGUCGCGCCUUGGUUUACGAGAACUCCGCUAGCUGAUCCAGUGAGUUGUGGUUUUCUCCCCCAUUUUGCUUUAAUUAAACUUUUUUAAGAUGCCUAGUGGUUAAUACACAGACCGUUGGAAAAAUAUUUUUGAUCUUUUAUUACAAUAUUCUUUAAAAAUCAAUUCAAAAAUUUAAAUUAUAAGUUUCGAAAUAUUCCGCGAAAGAAAUUAAAUAACAAAUACUAUAAAAAAAAGGUUUAGAUAAGGUCUAUGGAUCGAGGCGUGCAGAGUAUUGUCCUAGAAGCGAAAUUAUCCCUCCACGUGCGAGGCUUCUCGGCAAUUACUCCUAACGAUACAACGAUCAUGUUUCACCCCGUCUGCACGCUUUCAAGGUGGCGCAAGAUGAACCCAACCAGCUUCAGAUCCAGCAAUAAAAAACUCGGCGAAAAUCCAAAAAGCAGAAAAAGACGAGAGGGUUUAGAUAUGCUCAGGUUAUUAAUUAACUCGUGCAAUCUCGCCCCAUAUUUAUAAUCUAGGUGAGAAUCUUGUUUCAACGCGCCAAAUCCGUGUAGAAAAAGAUAAGCCUAAGAUUAUACGGAAAAAAAUUAGGAUUAGAAUAAAAAUAAAGAUAAGGAUUAAACUAAAGAUAAAACCGAAAAAAUAAAAUAAAAUAAACCGGGUGUAUGAACCACGCACGUCACCGCCCGCCCGCCCGCCCCGACUCGUGCUGUGUGUGCGUGUGUGUAUUUAAACGAGAACAUUACUCUCACUUUCUUCCAAACAACUAGCUUGAGAACUGAGAACAAAAGAAUAUAUAAAAAUCACAAAUACCCUUUUGGUUUUCAAUAUGGGACUAAACAUCACACAUAAAAAUUUUAAUUGGGGUCCCAAAUGGUCCAUUAACAAAUAUUGGGCUCUCAAAAGGCCUUAACAAAUUUUAAAUCACAACAAACCUAAUAAAAUCUAAUACAGACUAGGAAUGCAAAUGAAUCUACGUCUGCGGAGCUCCUAUCUCAAUUCGUUCUGAUUGAGACAAUAAGUGGAUCGCUCUAUCAGCUAAGAAUGGAGCAGAUUUUUUUUCUUUUUGCUUUAAAUUUUUUAGAUGCCUAAAGGUUAUACUAUCCGGACUAGGAACGUAAUGGAUGUGAGUCGGUAGAGCUCCCAUUCCGAUCAGCUUCGAAUGGGACAGUAAACAAAGAACCCCUAUCCACCAUAUCCACUAAGAAAAUGGAGCAGUAAUUAAAGAGAGAAUCCCUUUAGUCCCUUGAUUUGCUUUGAUCCAGAAAAAAUUUAUAAAAUCUCAAUUUUCUUUCAGAACAACUACGGAUGGAACAGUAAGUUAUGAUAGAAAAUAGGAUAAGUCAAAAUUCGUCCUAAAUCUGUCCUAACUCACCAAGAAAAUAGGACAGACUCUGACUCGGUCCUGUUUGCAUUUCUAAUACAGACGCUUUUUAUAUAUUUGAAUCCGAAUUCAACACUGACUCAUGUAGCCAUGAGUUAGAAUGGUGUAAUUUGUUGUGUGGGAUUGGAGUUGGACCUUUUUCCUGAGAUAGUAGGAUUGAUCAAAUAAGGUCCAAAGCGCGAAACCGAAUAGAUCAUUCUUUAAACUCAAUUCCUAAUUUUAAAAUUAGCUUAGAAUUUUACUAUAAAAAAUAUUAACUUAUGGCACAAUGAAACAAAGAAAAAAUGGUGUUCAUAAUUUUUUUUUUUUGAGAGAUAGGUAGCACGCUACCCGUUUCGUUUAUUUUAUUUAGAAAUAAACUUAGUUGGAAAUGUGAAUCAACUAGGAUUCGAAUUUGAAUCUCGGAUACCAACUAUCAAACCUUUUGCCACUUGCUUUAUGGACGGUCGGUAUGUUCAUAAUAUUUUAGUUCAAAAUUUCUAGAAUGAGAUCAUUAAUUGGAGCCAUUUGAAAAGCCCGAAAGCGUAUAAAAUAAUAAAAAUAUUAUUCUUUAACAUCUUGAAAGAUUUUAGAGUACUCGGUUAUUUCAGAGAUCUAAUCAUAGCUCUAUUUAUACUCAUCGCAGCUUUUCGACGAGCAGACACUGGCAAAGAUCCGAUCUCGCACGCCGCUCGGGCGAAUUGCGGAGGCGGAGGAGGUGUCGUCGGCGGUGGCAUUCCUUUGCCUCCCUGCAGCUUCUUACAUCACCGGGCAAACCAUCACGGUUGAUGGAGGCGUGACAAUAAAUGGGUUUUUCUUUAAUUAGAGUAGAAUUUACCCGCUAAACUUAAUGAAUAUCCAUGAUAAAAUAAGAUGGGGAUUAAUGAGAGUUCCAAAGUUGUAUGUUGCUACUUCUAUAUAUGUCCUAUUUAUGCAGUAUGUUUCGUUCCGUACAUGCUUAUUGCACUUUCUUUUUUGAUUAUUUGUACUUUUUAUACAUUGUAGCUAAGCAAUUACCAAAAAGGCGAAACCUUUUUUUCUUUUUGUGGCUCAACUUGAAAACCAAAAAAAAAANCUAAACUUAAUGAAUAUCCAUGAUAAAAUAAGAUGGGGAUUAAUGAGAGUUCCAAAGUUGUAUGUUGCUACUUCUAUAUAUGUCCUAUUUAUGCAGUAUGUUUCGUUCCGUACAUGCUUAUUGCACUUUCUUUUUUGAUUAUUUGUACUUUUUAUACAUUGUAGCUAAGCAAUUACCAAAAAGGCGAAACCUUUUUUACAAGUAUAGGCACAACAAAUAAAUACAAAAUAAAAAGAAGAAAAAAAAAUAAAGGAUAAGUAAAUUGCUGAAGGGUCCUCGAAAUUUUAGUGCAGUUUUAGAUUAGUCCACAAUUCAACUUUUACAGUUAAAUUCCAAACUUUUACGACCUUUUGUAACUUUAGUUUCAAUCAAAUUUGUACUCAAAAGGGAAAAUAAUAAAAAAGGGAACAAGUUCGAAUGCAAUUCAUCCAAAAGUUAAUAAACCACGAUAAUCCAACUAUGAACAUUAUGAGCAUGCUGAUAUGUCACGCGUAAAUUUGUUUGUACAACAGAAGCAAGUAUAGCAUACUGAACAGAAGCAUUAAUGUGUAUAUAUAAAGAGAUGAUUAGAAAUGACCCCUGAAGCAUUUCCCAAAAAGUCCAUGAACAUUAUGGGCUCAAAUUGAACUAGUUUUGCGGUCCAACCCGGCCCGGUCCGCCCAAUGCGACCCAACAUGGUCUAUUAAGAAACCUACGCAUUAGCAUUUUUAUUAAAGCAUACCAAUGAUCCAUUUUGCACUAAAUACCAGCAAUAAGAGACCAAAUUCACUUCGGAAUAAUUCAAGAACACCUUGCUUGCUCCGAACUCUCUUUUAUCCUUCACACAUCAAACAUACACAACUUAGUCAUAUAAUUAACCCCCUCUCUUCUCUUUCUUAUAGCUUUGCACUCACCUCUUUGAGUUCUUUUAAUUCGCUCCGUUUCACAUCACAUGUUCUUCUACUCUUCUAGCACUAACCAACAUGGAAGAGAGCUCUCCAAUGUUUGUUCACUCCAUCUCCGAGACGGGCCGGUUACUACCUUCGGCAAGCCGUUGGAACUCCAUAGAAAUCGACUUCGAUCUUUUCCCGACGUCUUCGCGGACGAACGAUCCCGUCCCCUCAAAGUACUCAAAGUCUUAUACAUUUAAACUCGGCAUAACCGACAUGUCGCAGCUCAAGUGCUUCAUCUACGUGUCGAUUGCUUUAGUUCUCAUCGUCGUCGCUUUAGUUCUCUUGAUGGUUCUCUUGCCGCGCAAACGCGGCCACCAUGGCUCUUCUAGCAAUCUACCAGUUGCUCUAGAGUAUAGCCUUCUAUUCUUUGAUGCCCAAAAAUGUGAAAUCUCUUUUCCUACUUAUCUAUGUAUUAAGCGCCUAUUCGGUCUGGCUUCUGCAGCAGCUUCUAUGCUCUGGAAGUAAAAUACUUUAGAUGGUUUAGAUCUUAUGUUGCGGCGAGAAGAAAAAUGAGAUUCUAUGCCACAAACAAAGAAGCUCCGAACCGAAGCUUCCACACAAGUUGCAACGAGUAUUUGGGUAUUGGAGCUUGUUCGAACAGCUCUACCCAAAUCGCACUUCUACAAAAGUUCCAGGUCAAAUAGGCUAUGAGUUGGUACCAGGUUUGUGUGAUGGAUCUUACUUUCUUUGAUUAUUAUUCUACAGCUGGGGUUCUUCCGACAAACAAUCCGGUGAAGUUCCGUCGCAAUUCAGGGUUAAAGGAUGGCCCGGAUGCUAGUCUUGUCGGAGGCUUCUAUGACUCAGGCAACAACAUCAAGUUCAGCUUCCCCACAGCUUACACAAUCACUUUACUGAGUUGGUCAGUGAUUGAGUACCAUAAAAAGUAUUCAUCUAUUGAUCAGCUUGAGCAUGUUCAGGACAUCAUCAGAUGGGGAUCUGAUUAUUUACUUAAACUCUACAUCCCAUCCAACACAACAUCAAAACCUGCACUGCUAUAUUCUCAGGCAAGUUACUAUUCCUUAAAAUCAGUUGGUUGUUACACCAUAUGAGGACAUCACAUAAUAUGUGUGAGACUUUGAUGCAGCUAAAAUUCUGCAAUGCUGUUGAACAUCUAGAAAAUGUGAUCUGCAAUGCUGUUGAUACGCUAAUUACUUUACUGAUAGGUUGGGAGUACAAAUACAGAUAAAAAUUUGCAAGAUGACAUGACAUGCUGGCAAAGGCCCGAGGAUAUGACCUACGAUAGACGCGUGUCGAUAUGCGGAGGUUCUGCAGCUGAUCUUGCAGGGGAAGUUGCAGCAGCAUUAGCUGCAGCUUCUCUUGCAUUGGCAGAUCAAAAUGAAACAUACUCCCAGAAGCUGGUUGAAGCCUCAGAAAGCGUAUUUAAGUUGGUUAGGAAAAGCCAGAAUAAAGAGACAUAUACUGCAGAUGAUGCCUGUGGAGGAGAAGCAAGAGGUUUCUACACCUCUUCAAGCUAUAAGGAUGAGUUGGUUUGGGCAGGGACAUGGCUAUUCUUCGCCACGGGGAAUUAUGCGUAUCUUCGAUACACUACCGAUAAUUUCGAGCUCGCGGUGAAGGAAGAGAUGGAUUCAAACAGUGGGAUUUUCUACUGGGACAACAAGAUUCCAGCAAACGCAGUAAAUUUCGCUUAAACUGCUUCUGAACAUGAAGAAAACAGAUUUGGAAGGGUUAAUUAUAUUUGAUUGAUUCUAUUUGUAGGUUUUGCUAACAAGGCUAAGGUAUCUCCAUGAUCCUGGAUAUCCAUAUGAAGCCGCACUAACAGUGUGCUCAGAUAUGGUUAACAUUCUGAUGUGUUCCUACCUCUCUUAUUCUGGGAGUUUUAACAUGACACCAGGUACAAAAUCUAAAAUCCACCAUGAAGUAUGCUUAAAUAUUAGCUGCUAGCAACUUGUGCAGCUGUUGAAUCAAGAUUUUUAGCGAAGAACUAGUAUUUUUUCCAUCAGUAUCUCCUCAAACAGUUUUCUACUGCUGCUGAAGCAAAAGCAAAAGCAAAAGCAGAAGCAGAAGCAGAAGCAGAAGCAGAAGCUCCAAUUGUAGCUUCCACUUGAUUGUUCAGAAGCCCAUUUCAUUUUCCUGCCUAAACAAGAUAUUGGAUUUUUCAUUUACAUGCAUUUUAAAGUUAAAAAAGAAAAAGCAAUUUCAUUAGGAACAGUAAUAUAUAGCAUAAUGAAGAGAUGCAGCAGUGCCUGUGGGUCGGUGCAGGUGGGCUGCUUCUCCGGAAAGAUAACUUCAGACCACUCCAGUAUGCUGCAACUGCUGCUUUCCUCAGCAGUAUUUACAGCGACUACCUAAACAUCAUUCAGGUCCCUGCCGCAAGCUGCGGCGCCAACACGUUCUCCGUCAAACAACUGCAGAGCUUUGCAAAAUCACAGGUCUUCCUUAACUCACCAAUUCUUAAAGAGUCCAAGUAGAUUCAGCUAUAGCAGUAACACAACAUAAUGAUCUCAGGUGGAUUAUAUACUGGGGAACAAUCCCUUGAAGAUGAGCUACAUGGUUGGUUUCGGCGACAACUUUCCACAGUACGUUCAUCAUCGGGCGGCAUCGAUACCAUCAGACGGCCGGCGGUACAGCUGCAGCGAAGGGAAAGCAUGGCUUAGCGCAAAGGACCCUAACCCGAAUGUCGUGACGGGCGCAAUGGUGGCGGGCCCGGACAAAGAGGACCAGUUCUUGGACCAGAGGGAGCUGCCUGAGUACACGGAGCCAUCCAUAUCAGGCAAUGCUGGUCUUGUAGCAGCUCUUGUUGCACUGUUGGAUUAUCCUGUCUCUGUAGAGUAUAAUCAUUUAACAGGUGGAAUGGACAGCGAAAGAAUCUUUGCUAACAUUUCAUAGCGCACUUGGCGUGCAUAAUAAAUUUGUUGUUUGUUUAAUAAUAGAGGACAUUAACUGUUUCCUUUUAAUCUAAACACUAGGACAUAAUGUUCUAAUAUUGCUAAGUUGGGAAAUGUGACAUUUUUGGGUUUUUUUUGCAAGUUUUUCAUUUGAGUAUGGAAAAUAUUAGACAGCAUAAGAAGCUUGGUUGUAAAUUGUUCUAAGUUAGCAAAAGAAUAUUAAUUAUCCGAGUAUGACAUUCCCAAUUGUAUAGCCUAGAGAAUCUCUAAGUAGAAUAUAUAACAUCGAACCCACACAUAAAAUCUUUCAAUUAAGCCAAAGUACACUAAAAUCCAACUCCCAAUUUUAUAAAUUUGAAGGUGCAAGUGAAAUAAGAAAAGAGGUGAAAUUUCAUCAAAAGUUGGGAGAGUAUUGCAACUGCCGGAGAAAAUCAAAACAAAGUGCACAAAUUGAAGAUCAUUCUCCAUAUGGAAGACAACACAAAAUUAUAGGAAUUAGUAGGAUCCAAGCACAUCAAAUUUACACCACUAUCUUAACUCACGCACAUAAAUACGCUGAUAAGUUAGUAAGUCAACAUGUUCAACAGUGCACAAUCCUGCGACUCGAAAAAGCACAAGAUAAAUAAAGCAUAAUUACUGGAGGAAGUUUGUUUAUUACAAAAUAUAUAUAAAGGGAGAUAGAAACAUUCUGUUCAUUUGUCAAGAGUGCCUCAGCAGUUCAUAGGCCAGUGCAGCAACAGAGCGGCAGCAGUAGCAUUAGCAGCAUGAAAGCAACGACAGCGGCAGCAAAAGCAGCAAGGCUAGAGCUGAAGCAAUAACAAGAACCUUAAUGUUAUAACUUGGAAAGUCAACAGCUGCGCGCUAACAUAAAGCUGAAGUGCUUAUUCUAAAGAUACUGUCCACAUAAGACCAUAUGAAACUUCAUGUUAGUAAGGCAAAAAAAUAAAAGUGAAAGAAAAUGAAGUUCUUUGCCUUCGAUAUCAGUUCUUAAAACGAAAAGGACAUUAAAAAAAAAAAAACACUAGCUCACCAAUAUUGUUUAUUUUUCCCCCUUUAAAAGCAUAGAGGAUUGUGAAACUCUAUUGUUUUUUCACUUCAAUGUGGUUGUGUGUGAAAGGAAGGAGGGGAUACCAUACAUUGCGUAUCAGAACCACUUGUUUCCUCAGGCAUGGUGAUAUAUACUUGCUCAUUCUCAGCAAUGUGAUGUAAGUUAAUGGUCAGUAAAAUGAACAAAAAUUAGAUAGACCCAAUUCCAUGAACAUGAGUUACCCUUCUAGCUUGUUUCGGCAGUUUCUUUCUGGUAUUUUCAUCCUUUAGGAACUAUUAGAGGUACCAAUUUUAUGAUUCAUUGGCACUAUAAAGCAUAUUUUCAGAAUGUAAAAGAAAAGCUUUUAAAUAUUCAUAUAUUUUAGCAGUCCACAACUCCACAUGUGCUCUGCAUCAACAUAAGUCUUAACACUGUUGCUGAAGGAACCAUCUAACUCAUGGGACUCGAGAUAAAACAAACUGUGGCUUCUUAAUUGUAUUUUGCCCUUCAUUAUUUACUUAGUUUAAAUGAACUUUUGGCCGGACACUACUUUAAAAUAAGUUAUUAUUCCUACUACCCUCAUCCCAUAUAUUUUAUGCUUGUUUACCUACAUCCUUUUUAUUGACCUGCGACCAUGCAUCAACCAUUGUAUGCUGCAGCCAGCCCCUAUCAUCCUCUUGUAUCUACUGCUAUUGCUGACAACUGCCACCACCCAAUAUAUUCAACUCUGGCCAGCCCCUUUUCAGCAGAUAUUUUGUGACUUUUCGAGUUCAUUAUGGCUAGGGUUUCAUCCCUUUAAUGUUUUAUCUUUUUUUCCCUAUGUUUUCAAGCCCUAUACUUAGGGAUGCAAACAAAUCCGGGUUGGUGGAGCUCCCGCCCCGAUCCGCCCCGACGGGGGUAGUAAAUGGGAGAAAAUAAUCGAAUUCGGGGCAGGAAAUAGGGUAAAUUUUACGAUCCGAGAUGGAUUCGGGGCAGGAAACGGGAGAAAUUUUGAUCCGCCCCGAAUCCGCCCCGCCAUGAUCCGCCCCGAAUCCGCCCCGAAAAUCAAUUAUAUUUUAAAAAAAUAUUCCUAAAAAAUAAUGUAUUUACAAAAAAAGUUUAAAAUACAAAUAAGUUAGUACUCUUAUUUCUAAUGUAUUUGAAACUUUUGAAUUUUGUUUUGAAUUGUGAUUGAUAUUUUUGAUUUUUAUAAUUGAUAUUGUUAAAAUAUAUAUAUAAUAUUAUUAAAAUUAUUAAUUUAUAUUUUACAAAAUAUUAAUAAUAUUAUAAUUUUAUAAAAAAUAUUAAUUGGCGGGGCGGAUUAUGGGAUGUAUUUUUUAACCCGUCACGGAUUCAGGGCUGGAGGCGGGGCGGGAUUUUGCUAGUCGGGGCGGGAGGCCAGGCGGGGCUCCUGCCCCCAAAUUCACCCCGUUUGCAUCCCUACCUAUACUCAUCCCCUUUUUUUCCAUCCUUUUCUUCUCAAACCAGUCCGCACGUCUGGUUAUUAUAUUAUUCUCCUCCUAUUUUCUAAUUGGGUGGUAUUUUAUUAUUUAUUUCAUUGUCCUCUACGUGCUUCCAGAUUAAUUUAAGAAACUUUUCAAGUUCUGACGAAUGAAAACACUAUUCCACGGAAUCAAUGCAGUUCAGAGUCAUCACCAGAGUUGACAAUCUAUUUGUAGUAAAAGUUUGUAAUUAAGAUGGACAUACACUUGAACCUGUUGAAGAAGUAUCCUCAAUUAGAAUAAUGGAUGGGUUUCAACUCUGUUCACUUUUGCAGCACUUAGAGCAGUUGAUGGGUGAUAGAAACGGCAAACAGGUCGAUGGCAAAGCCCACGUCGAAAAUCACGACAAACUUCAACCUGGUCCCCAAUCACCUAUAGAGAGCACAAAAAUCAAUAAACUAAUAAAACACUAGCGCAGAACAAAUAAAUAUAUGUAACUCAAUUAUUUAUAGUAGUAACUUCUUGAUGACUACAGAUGAUACCAAAAAAAAGUUGCCAUACCUCGGUUUGUGAAUCAGGGUGAGCAUAUUUACAUGACUCCCGUCUACACAUAUUCUUCAAGAAGUCUUUACAUACUGGUAAAACGUCUUGAUCUGUUUAUCAUGAAAGUAAAACAUUACCCGAUGACAAUUGAACAUAUAACAAAAAUAUAAAGUAUUGUUUGGUUACACUUCCAUCUUUCAAUUUUUCCAGAACUCAAGGCCUAUGAGAUUGACUGUGCUGACAGAUGUCAGAUUGUUUGCAAUCUAUACACUAAAGGGGUUGCUUGGCAACAAAAAAAAGAAAAUUUUGUAGUAACUUUUUGUCUUUGUUUUCUUUUAUUAUUUUUUUCUUUUUUUUUCCAAAGAAGAUGAAUUUGCAAGCUAACCAACAAUAAUAAGAGCCGAAGAGUCUAUUGGCUAGCAAAACUCCACCAUAUAAAAUUUGAGUUUUUUCCUAAAGGAAUAAAUUUACCCAAAAAAAGGUUGAAAGUUUCAGAUUUUAUGGGGUCGCAACUAUAUUCCAAAUAGCAACCACAAUGAAGUAAUAAUCCGCAUGCGACUUAGUACAUAAGUGACUUAUUGGGUUAGUUACAGAAGGUGCAACAGAAAAACCAUUUUAUAGCAAGUUAAAACAAAAGCACAGACAAUAUAAUCAAGUGCUUACGAUUUUACCAUUAGCAAUUCGAGGAGGAGAAUUGGGCACAUUCAUGGGUGCUCCACGUGGUAGCAAGUAAGCCUAGAAUCAAAUGGAAUAAAUCAUCAGCAAAAGUUGUAAAAGUUCUUAAAAAGAAACCUCUGCAGAAACAGACAUAAAAGACGGCUGCUCCAGUACAGCCAAUAUCUAUUUUGCAAAAGGAAGAAAGUACACAAUAAGCAAACACAAUGAUCAAGGAUAAAGGUAAUUUUUAACCUGCGGCAUUGAAUGAGCUGGAACAUGAGAGUAACGACAAGAUUUGCGUUCACACCUUCCAUGUAAAAAAUCUUGGCAAACCUUUAAAAGAAGAAAAUUGAAAGAAACUUUAGAACAUAAUCAGGGACAUGAUUUUCAUGGCUCAAUCAAGAAGAGCAAAUAAUUUGCAGAUAUGAAGAAGUCAAUCUAAUGACAUCCUGAUAAAUUGUCAUGUUUCAUAAAUUAAAAUAUCUGUGACAUAGCAGAAAAUCCCAAUACAACACUCAAUAGUUUAAAAACAAUAGGUGUCAAUCUGACAAACAAAAUAAAUUUACAUGAUCAGCAUGUAUGUCAGUUUAUUAUGCGGGAACUAUUAAAAAUGAAUAUUACAUAUUCAAAUUCUCGCAUGGUAUUUGAUCGAGAAAGUACAAUAUUUGUACUCAAAUAAGCAAUGCGUACUUGAUAAUAGAUUAUUAUUGUGUAAGAGGAGCUUACUAUUUCAGAAUUGCCACUUGAUAACUGGUGAGAAAAUCGGCAUUCUCUAGCUGAUCUAAAACAUUUUCCCCGCAUGUAGUCUAGACAGACCUGAUAAAAUGUUCAUAAAGGGCAAUGAAAAAAAAAAUAAAGAGGCUGAACAAAAUACACAACUACCUAAUGAACAAAGCAUUACACAAAGAAAUGACCGUCCAUAUGGGCACUAGGCCUGAAGCAGGCAGUUUCCUCAUUGAAAACUGUUUAACCAGGUGAAAGAAGACACUGAUGCUAACACUGAGACUCUCAGAGAUGAGGUUUCCAAAGCAUUGGUCACAUUGUCUCUCAUAGUCAGGGCUUCAUCUCAUUAGCAAAAGAGAUGCAGAUUAUGAUAUUAAACCUUUGCAUGGGAAAUCUAUUGCCUGGACCUGGGCCGUGAAAUAGCCAUGAUCGUCCAUCACAUCAUCUCCAUCUGAUACUAUAUUUUCAAUAAAACCAACCAACUCACCUUUUAAAGAAAAACAACUUCUAAAUGAGGAAUAGACAGCAAUCACAGGGCAGUAAAAAUUGAAUUAAAGAUGGGAUGGAGGAAGCUGGGGUAGGCAGUCCAUGGCUGACAUUGUUGCUCAGGUCCACACAAUAAUUUCUACUUCAAAUGAGUAUGGAUGAGUCUUAUGAUAAUCAUAGUGGUACUUGCCAAUGAAUGCUUAUGGUAAUCAGUGAGCUCCUUCAAUCCUUCACCAUUUUAAAGUCAUGAUGCCACAUAAAAAAAAAAUUCCAGCAUUUUACAUAAGAAAUUUUCUUUUCCUGAUUUACUUCUGGGGAAAGAGGGGUAUAUCCUAUGUAACAAUAAAGAACAGUAAGAUAGAUAAUCUUAAGGACCACAAAGAGAACAAACCCAACAUUGCUUCUAAAAAUUACCACAGACAAAAAGAAUUGCGUAUCCAGAUUCAACAAACUGACAAACGGAAGCAAAACUUACUGUCUCCAUCUUUGCGUCUUCUAUGCCAAUUGAUUCCUGCAAUGACCUAAAGCAAACACGAAAGCCGACUAAGCCACUAGCUCCUAAGAUUGUGCUUAGCAAUUUUAUCUCAAAGGUCACUUCUUAGUUGCAUUAUUGCGGAUCUUAUCAAAAUAAUUUAUAUUUGCAUGCUAGCAAAGGGUACCUAAAUUUGAAAAAAGUUUAACCAUAGCUAUAAAUGAAAUAAAAUCCCAUACGAAUAACUUGCUCCAUUGUAGAAUCUUCAUUAUUAGUCACUUGGACAUUCAGGAAGCCAAGCUAUGGACAUUAACAUUUUUUUUUGAAUUUUAAUAUCAAACGAUGGAACCAUGCUAUAGCAGCAUUAGAGGCUGAAAGACUAAGAAAUCAGAAAGGGCGUACUUCUGGAUGUGUGGGGGAGGAUGGUAGUAACGGCAAGUCAGACCACGGAAGCACUUGUUCCGAAGAGAAUCUGCACAUGCAGUGACCUUAUCCCUAACAAAACAUUAAAGAUUAGACGAUAAAAUGGCUUCAACAGAUCAAAGAUAGGAAUAGGAAAGAGCAGGGGUUUAGGCUUGAUACCCCUCGAUGGUGACGGCAGGAAGAGGAUGGGCGAACUUGCAGUCGAUCGGUGGUCGACGACAAAUGUGGCGAAUGAAAUCCUUACAAACCUCGACAGAGAGGUUGUUCCGCCGGCGUUUAGCACUGCCAUUCCCGUAGCCAUCAUCAUCACUGUUGUAGCUCCACGGGCUGGAUCUUGGGGAGGAGGAUCGGCGUCGCUUACGAGGAGAACGUGGCUAAGCAAAGAGGAGUAUAUUCUAUGUUAUGUUAAGCAAAAUAAGAAAAUAGUACAUGAUAGGAAAAUCUAAGGGCAGUGCUGGUUAAAAUGAGCCAGAAAACAAUUUCCAUGAGAAAGAAACUGAAAAGCAGAAUCAAGAACACAGCAACAUUAUCUAUCUCCACCUUUGGGUCUUCUAAGCCAAUUGAUUUCAGCAAUGACCUAAAUAAAACAGAAACAAUCCAACUUAGUCAGUAGCUCCUAGAUUGUACUAGAAAUUCAGGAAAUUUCCAAAAUCAAGAUAUAAUUUUAAUUCCACUUUACCACCCUGUGUUUCAAAGGGCGGCACUUUGCAACCCAUUCUAACAGAGAUUUAACAGCAAGGUUUUAUUGAAACAAAAGACAAUAACUACAUGGGACAAAGAGCUACACUUGGUCAACUAGAGGGAGGUAAAGUGCAUAUUGUAUACUAUGUGACAAGGAAAGUUUCUGAAUUUUCCCUGUAUUUACAGUUUAGAGAGGCAUCCAAUUGUCAGGACUCACUUGUAAUGGCAAUUUAAGUGAUCCUUAUGGGGAAAAAAAAAAAAAAUGAAAGCAACAACUGUUGGAGUGCAAAGUGGUACACUUUGAACCACAUGGUAGUAGUAACAUCAAAUUCAGCAAUAUCAAGAUUUUUUUUUCUUUUUUUUUUUGUGAAAGUGUCAGUAAAAGUUUUACAUCCAAUAUCAAUCCUCCGUUGCCUUCACGCAACCUUCUCAAAGAAAAUAAAAUCUUGGUUUGUUUGCUACGAGAGGUAACAAAACUUGAGAAAAUUAACUGGAGCAAUGAACAAAACAAAAUCCAUCCAUGAAUCGAUAGUCUCUAGUAUACUCUUCGUUUUAAGUUGCUUGAACUUUAAGGAGAACCAUACAUGAAGAGUAAAAAGUUCUAUUAUCAACCUUUUUGUAAAGAUAGCUUAAUCACAUCUCAAAAUCAGAAACACAUACUUCUGAAUGUGAGGGGGUGGAUGGUAGUAGCGGCAGGUCGAACCGCGGAAGCACUUGUUCCGAAGAGAAUCCGCGCACGCCGUCACCUUAUCCCUACCAGAGACAUCAAUGUUGGAUCAAAAGAACAGUGCCCAAGGAUCAGAGACGGAGAGAACGAAGAGCUAGGGUUAGGGUUAGCACCCCUCGAUGGCGACGGCGGAGUGGGGGUGGGCGAACUUGCAAUCGACGGGAGCUCGACGACAAGUGCGGCGGAGGAAGUCCUUGCAUACCACGACGGAGAGGUCGUUGCGCCGCCGUUUUCCUUCGCCGCCGCCGCCGCUGGCGUAGCCGUCGAUGUAGUCGUCGUAGCUCCAGGGGCUGGAGCUGGGAGAGGAGGAUCGGCUUCGCUUACGAGGAGAGCGCGGGGAGGAAGGAGAGUUAGGGCUUUGGGGAGCCAUCAGGGUUUAGGAGGGACGAGGAGGAGGAGGAGGAGAAGAGGGAACGAGGUUAAAGGAGGCUCCUUUACCGGGUAACGCACGAUGGGCGCAUGAUAGCAGCUCCCGCGGCUUCGGACCUUGGUGUGCGCAGCGCACAAUAGAACUCGGCAAAAGUCGAAAUACGGCAACGUCUGUGUAUAUUGUGCCGACUUCAGUUAAAAGUGGCAAAAAUCAGAUUUCGGAACGGCUUUGUAAAUUCUGCCGACCUCAAAGAAAAGUAGCAAUACCCACACAAAAAAAAAAACAAUGGAGAUGCGGGGUAUCGAACCCCGUACCUCUCGCAUGCAAAGCGAGCGCUCUACCGUUUGAGCUACAUCCCCAUUUGCUUCAACUUCCGAGAAAAAUAUUUAUUAAGAUAAUACAGCAGCCCACCAUACUGUGUCAUUUCUGUACUUGGCUUGAGAUGACAACAACAAAUUGUUUAAACAAAUCCAUCAUAAACACUCUGAUCGAUUCCACAGGAUCCCAUAAACCAAAUCACCAUGUAGUAAUAUCUAAUUCCAUUCAUAUUUUUUGUAAAGUAAAAUACACGCGCAACUCAAUUUGUACAACAUACAUAGGUUCAACCUUCCAACAAAGGAACAUUGGAUACAUCGUAUCAUGAAUCAAAACAAGGUUAUUUACUAUCUUCUUGGUACUAUAAACAUACUUUACAUUGUAUUAGCAGCUCAGAUUUACAUUGCCGAGUAGACAAAUUGGGACAAAAAAAAUAAAACAUAAAUGGAUGCAUGCUAGGAGGCAAUAUGGCCUAUUAAACAGCGGUCGUGUUGUAUUACACAUUGUAUGAAGGGGAUAGCAACGAGACAAAUGACUAGUAUUCAUUUGUACAAAGCAGUGCACUACCGUAUUCAUCAGAUAACCUAUCGCCGAUCCGACAGAACCGACUCGCUCCAGUGAAGCAUAAAAUCUCGUGUAGCAGUAGGCAAAUCUGCAUGAAAGAGUCCGUGGAAGAGCAGCAUGUAAAGGUUAGGCAAGCGCUUGGAAAAUAUAAAGUAAACUAUCAAAAAGAUGGAAAAAAACGAAAAGUAAAAUAUGUAGAUGUAUAUUCUUUUUUUACCUCGCAGGACCUCCAAUGCAACUGAUGGUACAUCUACAUCUUCUUCAACCAAUCUGUAUACGUCUACAAGCUAAAAAGAAAGAAAAACAACAAAUUCAAUACACCCGCCAAACACCUAGUGUGCUAAAAGGUCAAAAUCGACCGACCUACUAUAUAAAAUUGAGCUGGAGUGCUUCCGGAAGGAUCAACUUAGGGCUUUCAAUUUUUGGGCUCUUGGAUCAAGCCCUUUGGCCCUUGGAUGAAAAGUUAACAAUGCUGGCUAGUGGUGGAGCCCCUCUAUUAUGCAUGAUCUAAGGGCCGAAAGGUUGAUCCAAGAGCUAGAAAGUUGGAAGCACCAAGGGGUUGGUGAUCAUAGGCUUCCAAGAUUUGGAAAUUAUAGUUAUGCCACCUAAUUAACCACAUUGAGACUUGGGAAAAUCUGCCAGUGCUUUCUUUGUUUUCUAUUGUUUUCUGCACCACAAAUUGCUGCGUCCAAGCAGCUAAACUAAUUCUAAUUUUAUACUCAAGGAAAGAUAGCAAAGAUAAGGGCCAUAGAAGAUAAUUGCCUUAAAUGUGCUAUACUGUUCGUCUUUUUUCUUUGUUUUACUUUUUAAUGAAAUGAUACAACUUAAAGGUCCUGGUUAAAGAUAUUGCAAACCUCUUGAAUGUGCAACUUUGAGUCUUCAGUUAGAGCCAUUAUAAGUUGUCUCCUGAUCCCAGCAUCGAUCAGGAACAUACGUGCUCCAUCCUUUAUAGUUUCUGUGAGGUCUAAUUUCUUCCCAAAUUGGCCAUUUCUUGAACUUCGCCUGUAAAGGACAGCAGGAGUUUAUAGUUUGUAACACACCCAUAAGACCUAGCAAGAAAUUAAAAUUACAUACGUGCUCUUCACUUUCAAUGCCGGAUUGCUGUUCAUCUUAGCCACAUUUUCUUUAGCAAGAACUAUGAGGUUUUCAAGCCGUUUCCAUUGGAAUACACCAUCCUUGAAUAGCACCUGAAUGCAAAAUAAGAUAAAGCAAUUAUUAACGGCAACAUCAAGAACAAAAUUGAGAUUAUAUACCUUAUGUGACAUUUCUACAUGAUUAUACUGGAUUACUAAGCUUCCUAAUUACCAAUAAUUAUAUCAAACUUAUGCUUAAUAUUAGAAAUUAUACUAUAAAGGAGGUUGUAGACGACAAACCUGUAUAAGGCGCUCACGAAGUGCAGGAUUUGGGUCAGUCAAAAGGCGCUUCGCUACAUAAGGAUAUGCAACCUUCAAAAAAAGUCAUAUACCAUAGACAAGCACCUUAGCAGACAAAACAGAUCCGAAGCAUCAAAAGAAGCGAUUAAGUGGUUGAAAUAUAACAAACUUAAAACCAGCGACAAAGUUAGAUAAAGCAUCAUUAAAAUAUGUGCAGUGAUGGAAAAAGGAAAUGCAAGUGGUACCUCAAGAAAUUUAAAAUCUGGCUCUAAAGUGAAGCAAAUUCCUUCCUGGGUCAACAAUGAACGAAUAACAAGAGAAAACCUCUCUGGGAUACGGAUAGGAUAAUUGUAAACAAGCUGAUUGAACUUCCCUGAAAAAAGUUCCUAGAUUAAGUAUUUUACUGUUUAAGAUAUUCUAAGUAUGUCCCUUGCAUUUCAUCAUUAUUACAAAAAUAAUUUCUGACCAUCAAGCAUUCACAUAAACGUAAAACAAUCAAAUUGUGAAGUUGCUUCACAUGUGACUACAUACAGAUGCAUAGUUUGGGUAAAGCAUCAACAAUUCAACAAUCAAGCAUAAGAUAAAUAUCAAUGACAUUCAUGGAACAGUUAACGACAUUUGUUAUUAUAAUAAAAAGAUGGGCCUUUCGUCUAUCUUUGUGCUUAGCUCUCCUCUAAUCAGUACAAAGAACUGAUCACAACAAAGAGCAGAUAGAAGAUGAAAAGACAAUACUUCAGUCCUAGAUUAAUAACUAUUUACAGACCAAAGUUUCAAUUUUUUGCUUUCCCUCACAUGGAAAGGUUAUAGAUGUAGAGAGGAGCACACAGUUUUGUGCAAGGAGCGGUCUUUGGUACUUAGGAUCACAUUCUGAGAUACCAUAAAAAUUCACUUCAAUUGGUUCCUCCUAUUUUAAAAAGUAUAUCAUAUAUACCUUAUUCAAAAUGAAAAUGAUAAUUAAUGAAAAAGCCAAUCAUCAUCCUUUUCCCACUUAAUAUCCCUGAGAAGAUGGUUGAUAACCAAAAAGGGAAAAAAAAUAAAGUUCAGAGUUGAAAAACAAAAUAUGAAUACAACGUGAAGUGAAAGAACCAAGAAGAAAAAAAGAUUGCAUUGAGAAAUUCGGCAAGAAGAAACAUGUCUUAGAUUAAUGCAAAUAAAGAUAAGACAAAAAAGAUAGAAGUCAAAUUAACAGACUAUACCAGUGACACUCCGGAAGUUAAAGUCAGCCAAUCCUUUUCCAACAGAAUUUUGCCAGAUUGCUUCUAACGCAGGAAUAAUUGGGGAAACAUCUGUUCCACUAGCAAGGAAUCCAAGCCUUGUGAAGUCAUUUGCCAUCUCAGCAUAGUCCUCAUUCACAGCAUGAACAACAGCAUCAAUCAGUAUUUGUUUGUUUUGCUGAAACCAAAGGAUCGGAAAAGUAGCAAAAUCUUCAGUUACAGACAUAUGAGACUAUAAUAUCCGUUGCCACCUGAAUAUUAGAAAAGGUUAGAAAAGCAAUUGGCUAAUAAGCAUGCUCCAAUCUAGCUCACCUGACUAAGCACAGCGACAUUUCCAAAAUCAACAUAAGCUAUUCGACCAUCACGCAUUGCAAAAAUAUUUCCAGGAUGGGGGUCCCCAUGAAACAACCCAAAUUCUAACAAUUGCCGCAAAGCAGCACUCACACCGACUGUGAGGAAACCAUUUACGUCAAUCCCUGCUUCUCUAAUGGCCUGCUUCACAUGAGAACAAAGGAAUUAGUUCAAUCAUGUAAGUUUAAAACUGUAAUGUGCAAAAGAAGCAAUCCAUCUUUUUAAAAAAGAACAAUAUAUAUUGACAAUCUCAAGGAACUUCUAGAAUUAUAAAUGGUAGAGGUAACACUUAUUCACAUAUUUCAACCUGUGGGUCAGUACACCGAAUUCCGUUGAUCCACUCCAUUACCAGAACACGCGAACCAGAGAGUUUCUUAUAAACUCGCGGAAUCUUGACUGUCGGAUCAUCUUUAAAGUUCUCCAAGAAGUCCUCAAUAUUUCGAGCUUCCUGAACACAUUGAAGGGGAAAAAUAAAGGAGGCAAUGCACCACACUUUAAGCCCUAAACAAAGUAGUUGAGCAGACUUACAAGCAUAAGAGAAAAAUUGUGUUUCUAGUGGAAGGGGGGAAAGGGGGAUUGAGCAGACUUACAAGAGUAUAGUCGAGUUCUUCCAAAAGCUUUUCACCAAAUUCAUCAACAAUAAGCUCUGCAUUGCAGCCUAAUUUUUGCAGACUAAUUCCAUUCAAGAAGGAAGCCAGAGUUCGGAACAAAAAAAGGUCUCGAUAAAUUAUUGGUUCUAUCUCUGGUCUUAGAACCUGCAAAUAUUAGUAGUCAGCAGAAAAAACACAGCAACAAGCAAGAUGGAUUUAUUUGCUUUAUGAAAUCCGAACUAGAUUUAGAUAAAUGAAGAGAUAUGAAACAUAUGCACAGGUUGUAAUCAUGAAAGUUAAAUUGGUGGUAUUCCUUGUUUGGGCUAGCUUCUUUUUCAGCUUUGAACUGCAACAACCUCGAGUAGAGCAUUUGACAAACAGAAAAAUUUGAAGCUUAUGCUGCGGUGGGAAGCGUAGAUGAGAUUCUAAGCCCCAAAAACAAAAGCUCCAACUUGGAGCUUCUGUUUCCAUUGAAAAGAAAAGCUAUCAAGGAAUUCUAAUAUACCACAUCUCCUAAUACUAAUAGCACCACUCAAGCAGUAAAUUCAUCGAAUAGCAUACCACAUCCCUAUUUGAAGGAUGAAAAUUGAAAGUUACCAAAUCAAAAUAAAGACUGCAAGUAGUGCAACAAUAUAGCACACCUAUCAAGUAAAAAAAAAAAAAAAAAAAACCCAAAUUAGACAUUUGGCAAGCACUCUGACAAGACAAUUUGUGCAUUAAAGUAAUUUUUUGGUAAAGUACCUGUUCAACUAUACAACAUGAUACAUAUUCAUGUACAAAAAUAAACUACAUCUGACAUUCACAACCUUUAUGGCAACAUCCUCCCCCGUCUCCCGUAGGGUGGCACGGUAAACUUGGCCCAAACUUGCAGCUGCUAUCGUCUGCGAUGAGAUUCGGCUAAAUACCUUCUCAAGAGGUUGCCCUAAUUCCUCUUCAAUUAUAUCAAAAGCUACCUAAAAAAUCUCAAAAAAAAAAAAGAAGAAAAAAAAGAGAAACCAAAAAAAAAAAAAGGUUCACUUUGAUGACAAUAUGCAUUUGCUCCACAUCAUCACCUCAAAAGAAAUGGUAAACUCUUCUUUGACUUGAAAUUAAACAAAAAUUUCUACCCGAUUAGGAAAGGGAGGAACAUCAUCUUGAAGAAUGCAGAGCUCAUUCAUAUAAUCCUCUCGGAUUAUAUCAGGUCUGUUUGCUAGAACCUGACGAGUAAAAUGCCAGGGACAAGUUAAAACCAUUCGAGAAUGUAUAUGUAUCAAAGGGGUACAUACAGAUAGAAGAGUAUUAACCUGGCCAGCUUUGAUAAAAGAUGGACCCAAGUCACAUAGAAGAUUUCGAAGCUGGCGAGCUCGGUAUGGAACUACUUCCUCAUCUCGUCCUACCAAGCAGUCAUAAGAAAGAGCAGACCAGUAAAGGCCGAGUUUCCAAACUAUCUCAACCCCUCGGCCUAUAAGGGACAAUAUGGACCCUCUUGACUGCAGGACUGUAUUCCUGACCUAACACAGCAGCAGCAGACCAUCCAACACAACAGAGAUAUGAGAGUAAAUUAAAUUGUGAAAACCAUAUAUAUGCUGCCUGAACUUCACAGGUUUUCAAGGAUACCUGUACUUCAGAAGUUUGACAUUUGUACGAACUUUUCACUAAGUUAGAACUUAACGGUACUUGUAACUCUAACGGAAUAUUCUGUAAUUUCUUUUGAGAAACAUAUUCCAUAACUCUUUUAACAGACACAACUUGUUAGAAAGACACUUAAAUCGAAAAUAACGAAAGCUUAGGUAUCAAAAUGAAGACUUUAAAAGUUCAAGUACCCAUUUCAAAACACACUUUAGUUCAGCUAGUGUCUGGAAAUAUUUAUGUAAAUUAAACAACGGUAUAAAAUAGGACUUAUGCUAUAUAUACUCACCGUCUCUGGAGUAUACUUCCGAUAAGGGAUGCACACACCACGUUCAAUAUCAAGCUGUUCCAUGGCACUGCUCGACUUAUCCGUCGUGAUUGAGCCGUUUCUGCGUGAUGAUGGGGCCAUCUUUUGGGAGGACGGUAGAGGCGUAGCAGAUGCAGCAUUCAUUACACGAAAUGAAGGUAUCCUUUUGCUUCGUGAUCCGGAGUUCCCGCACCUACACGUGCGACAGCCCCGUGCAGGCAAUAGCAGGCGUGCAGCAUCAGAUGAACUUGGUAGGCACGUUGCGUGAAGUUCCAUAUUGUUUGCCCAAAUUUUACCGUCUUAUAUCUGAUCGAUUAAUCGAUUUCUACCUGAACAAGCAUCAAUUACUACAGCGAGCAAGAUAACGAACACAAGGUGAGGAAAUUCAAACAAGAAAACGUUGUAUUGAAUUCAAACAAAAUAAUUAUUUUCGUUGAAGAUCUGAAUAAAUUUAAUAUAGGUAAUAGACUUCUUAAUAAGUCAAGAUCAUUCUACAAGACUAAAUUACUGUUGAGAUUAUGAGUACCACACGUAAAAAUCGGGCCUUUUUUUUGAGAGAGAGUUAAAAAAAAAAAAAAAAAAAAAAAAAAAAAAAAAAAAAAAAAAAAAAAAAAAAAGCCUCUUUCGAGCCCCAUAUCCUCCCACAAACUGGAAAGCCCUCAAGUAGCAAAACAAUCAAUCCUAAAAAUUCAAAAAUGAGUCCACAAAAUAGGAGAGAUUGGAAAACUCAACGACCUAAUUCGGCCACUCCGCUUACAGAACAGCUUCAAUCCACAUAUCUCAAUGAGCAGAAAAAAGAAAAAAACAAAAACCUCAAAUUUAAAGGAUCUACAUCAAAACGAUCUACACUCGAACUAACCUAAGUAAAUCGAACUACAAAGAGAGAGAGAGAGAGAGAGAGAGAGAGAGAGAGAGAGAGAGAGAGAGAGUCCCCAACCUAAAAAAGGGAGCGGCGCCACAACCACCACCACCACCACCACCGCGAUUUUUUGAGAUCAAAGGGGGUGAGAGGAAGAAGACGAAGAAGAGGGGAGAGGAGAGCGCGUUAAAACUCGCCAAAGAAUCGCAAUCCAGUGAGCUGGGGAGUAGAAGUCCAAAAAGAAGGAUGCAUAGAAGAACCCCAGUCCCUGAUUUUGCUGAGAAAAAGCAUCAUAAGAUGUGGUACGCGACAAAAUCGUGGGUGCUCAUCCAUCCGAUUCGUUUGUGGCGGGGAAGUUUGAUGCGUCUGUAACAAAUUCACUAUUCCGAAUUAAAAAAAAAUUAAAUAAAUUCUCUCAAGAUAAAUAAAUAAAUAAAAUAAAAGAUAAUAAAAUAAAUAAUGGCACGGUACUGUAAACAAUUCUUGCAACAUAUUUUCCUCGCAUUUUUGCCUCCAUAGUAAACAAUUUUACAGGAACUGUUGGAUUUAUGUAAUCCCCAUAAAUAAUCGAAUCUCAAGUAUUAUUUGUAGCUAAGCACACCGGAGAUAACUGGAAGAACUAAAAUUGUUCUUAGAAUUACUCUUCUAUUUUUGAGCAGAUUAAAAUCUCUAGAUCUUGACCUAAAAUCCUAUUAUUCAGACCAACCACGUAAAUUGGAUCUAAAUUCCGAAUAUAAUAAACUAAAAUUUUUAUUUUUUAUUUUUUAUUUUCGAGCAUUUGAAAGUGGAAACGGUACCUAAUUUGGUACCGUUUGGUUCGGGUAUAAGCAAGCUAUUACAGGGAUAGGUACAAGUAUGGGGAUAAGAAAAAUAGUGUUUGGAUGAAAAUUGGGUUGUUCCCGGGGAUAAGAAUAAUUUUAGGUAGUUUUAUAUAGAAAAUGAAGGUGUUGGUGGGGAUAACUGAGAACUACUAUUCUCGGAUAAAAAAUUAGUGUUUGGGUAUAAAGGGGAGAUAAGGCCUAUUCCUAUUCCUAUCCCUAUCCCCUAACCAAACGCUGCCUAAAAAAUAAGAAACUAAUGAUGGGGAAAUUAUAU
rnacentral:lncRNA from 1 species